GCCAGUUCUACGCAAUUGAUCACAUGGGCAAUGUUGUGGUUUGUGACGUUUUCGAGGCAAACCCUACUGAUCAGGCUAGAAUAAUUGCUCGGUUUAGCCCUGAAUUAUGGGACAAAAAAGAGUUAUACUUAGUAAAAUCUUCAUCUACAGAUGAUGAACCUUUUCUGGUUGUCACACGAGACAACAUCCCCAAUUAUGAGGACGAACAAGGCUUUGAAUUGGAUAAACCGAUCUAUGGCACAACCGAAUUCCAGGUGUUUGAAUUGGUUUCUACAGCAGGAGGAGAAAAAGAGAUUACUUCCCGUUGGAAAGAAAUCAAGAAUUUGGGAAGCAGAUCAAUUUUUCUUGGCCAUAGUUCUUCAAUGUGCCUGCAAAACAACAAAUUGGCCCCCGGAAUCAAACCCGGUCAUAUAUAUUUCACGGACGAUGCAUGGGCAGCAUAUGUUGAAAUUCCUGAAGGCGGCGGCAAGGACAUCGGACUCUACAACUUGGAAAAAGGAGUAACUGCGCCCUUGUAUGAUGCCCCUUUGCGGCUUAGCCGAACCUGCCCAUCUCUUUGGAUUACACCAAAUUUUUAACAUUUGUAUCAUUACCCUGUGAUCUGUUCAUGUGAAUCUCGAAGGAUGUAUUUUCUCCCUCGUAGAUUUACUGCUCUCCAUAUCUUUCCUAGUUCAGGACCUUGUGCAGAAGUUCUACUGAUAACUGUUUGUUUUUCGAAUAUAAAAACGCUUUUUAUUGCUCUUGUUGGGAAUUAAUAUUAUUCAGCACAUGUUAAUUCUACACUUUAUGAAUUACCUUGUAAUAAUCAUUGCCAUUAAUAGUCCAGAAUUUAACAUUGGACCUUGAAUUUGGAGUUUUCUACUUCAUUACUACUUUGGGUCUUUGGUUGCAGUUAUGUCGAUCAUUGGUUGUAGUCCGUUAAACAUUGCUAUCCGGGAAUAUUGGAAUGGUCCGCAGCAGAGAUAUUCAUCUUUUAGUCCUUGAGGACGAGGACUUUGUAAGGGAGGGCAGUUGAUACAAUGGGAAUUCAUCAUUUUGCGUAUUAAUUUCUCGGAAAAACUCUUGUAAUAUCCGGAUUCCAAAUUGAAUUUCAGUUCAGUAUAGGAAGAGUUAGUUGCUGGAUUAAUUGGAGCGAUGUCAGCAGGGAAUUAGUCUGCUAAUCUGGCAGGAGUUAGCAGAAAAGGAGUAGAGAAAGGGUCAGUUGUGAAUUCUGUAUCUUGAUUCAUUCAUCUUCUGUAACUCUUCAUUCUUCAUCAAUACAAUUCCUUCUGAUUCUCGAAUUGUGUUCUUCAUUCAUCACGAUUCCUGAACCUUGAGUGCGAGACAUUCACUGUUCUCUGCAUCACACUAGGCUACCACAUCAUUUUUUAUUUGAGAACCUGAUAGAGACUCAAAAAACUUGGAGUGACUGCGAAGAAGAGCGGUAGAGAGAUAAGAGUAAUCAAGAUAGAAAUGCAAGCAAUGGGGCUAGGGUUAAGCUUUUACUUGCGGAUAGAGAAAAUGAUCCAAUUGGGAGUUUGAGAGAGGUUGGAGUUUUGAAAAUUAAAGUGAAAAAUGAGAAAUCUUUCCACUACAUGAUUGAGAGAACAUUUGAAUAUUAAAGAACCAUUUGGUUCAAUUUUCAUAAUCACUAUCACUAUGGUAUGAUAAAUAUGAGAAUAACAAUCGACUUGAUAAAGAUCUAUGGAGUGUUUGGUAACUUUAUAGCAAUGGAUUUUAGUAAUAGAAAACAAUAGAUAAGUAAAAAUGCCACUCAUUAAUAAUUAAUCAGGAAGCUCAUAAAAAGGGUUUAUGAAACCCGUCAACUGAUUCCUUUCCUUAUACUAUAUAAAAAUGAGUUGUGGUUUUAAAUUUCAACCGCAUGAAUAGGGGCAUUUUGGGAAUGUGAAAUGAUGUGUAGUUUUUUUUAAAACUUUUGGCAGCAUAUUUUUGGGUAUGUUUACGAAAAUGUCCUCAUUUUUGUACAUUUAAAACUUUUAUUUAUGGAGAUAUUUAGGUAUGUCUAAAAUAUGGAAUUAUUUUACAAUCUUUUGCCUCGGGUAAAGCUCAAUAAGUUUAUGUGUUGGUAUAAUUACUGCAAUGGUAUUAUAAACACAUUUAAUUGAAUUAUGGUUUUUGUUGUGCAAUUAAUUCCUUAUAAUAUAACCUCCACUACCUCGGACCUAAUCAAUAAACCUCAACUAAUCAAAAUUCUUUCUUUUGGUCUCCCAUAACCUACAAUCAAUUGAAUUAAUUAUUGUCUAAGUAACAACUAUUUCUAAAUAUUCACACAUUCAUCCAUUUGCAUCUUGAUCUUCCAUUUUUCCCCAACAUUUACGAAUAUAAGAUCUUUCUUCUUCCUAAUAUUAAAUUGUGCCAGUUAUGUAUACCACUCUAUAAAACUUUUUUUUUUUUCUAUCACUUUAUAAAACUAAGAUUAGUUUCAUGCCUUUCCAAUUUUGUUCUAAAAUCAUAUAUUUCUUUGUGUUUCUUACAAGGGUGAAAAAGCCAAUUGGGAAGAGAGAUGUAAAGGUAAAAUUAAUGCAAAUUAUUAUGAAACUUAUGUUGGAUCAUCAUCAUCAGAAUCACGGCCAACUUGUUCCAAUUCUUCCUCUUUAUUUUUGAUUUAAUUGUAUGAAAGUUGUGAACCUUAUAAAUUAGAAUUUUGCGAAUCUAACUAUUCGCUUUAGUUUAGUAUAAUCUUACAAAGAGGUAUUUUUGUUCCGCCAAAGUUUCAUUUGCUUGCUUUCACAAAACUCUAUGUAUGAUUGUUUUCCACUAGCAUAAUGUCAUUAUUCAUAUGGAAUUUUUGAAACAUAUAGUGAAUGUUUGAUCAUCAUUGCAGGGUUAGUAGUGAAAAUACCACAUUUGCAAACAAAUAUUGAGAAAUAUCAUUAACCACUUUCUACUUAUGGCUUCCAACUCCAAUUCAUGUGUGCAAUUUCUUCUCAUUUUGGCUUCAUGAUGGGUUUGUUCUCCCAAACAAACUCUUCUCACAUGAGUGUGUUUUUCUAUUGUAUUUCACCAUUAUGAUUGAGAUGUACUAUCAAAGAAGAAACAAAUUUUCACAUUGUCCUAUAGUGUGUAUCUUUCAAGGAAGUGUGAAGGGCAUUCUCUUUAUGGUUAAAUUGUGACAAUGGGUCACUUAUUCCUUUCAAGAAUGCUUUAUGAAAUAGACACCUUGAGCUCCCAAAGAAGUUAUAUUCAUGUUUGUUUGUCCAAUGCAACAAAUUUGGUGCCCAUAUUAUUGAUUGCUUUAGGAGACGCAAAAGCGCAAAAAUUAUCCUCAAUAAGUUCUACAAGUCAGCUCUUAACUUCAAUUUAUUAGUUCUCAAUGGAUUUCCAUCAAUAUGAACCUAUAAAUUUAUUUUCUUCUAAAAAUCCUGCUUUUGGAUCAUGUUAUGUUUUGUUUUCCUAUUGAUCAGAACAAUUAUAAAUUCUAUGCUCCAAGCCACAUCAUGCUUGACGGAUUGCUUGAUGAGACCAAAAAUAUAUUAGGCAUCAACUUGUUUGGAUCUUGGAUUCUAUGUGCACAAAAACUUAGGGACUUCCUCAAUCAUAGUUAAGAUGGAUUGUCUGAUACUUCCAAAUUAUUUGUGUGAUACUUUUAAGCUUUCCAUAAUAUAUUUACAAGGUUGACUCUUUCUUUUCGAGUGUCAGGUUUGUCAAAAUUGAUGUGGAUGAGAUAAAACUAACUAAGAAUAAAGCUAAGUGUUAAACUUUUCUAAUCUUGUAAUGAGCUAUAGUAUAAGGAUGAGAAUUAUCUAUUUGACAUUUAAAAAAUUUUUUGUUGCUCUCAUUUGUUAUGUUGAUGUUGAAUAAUAAAAAGUAAUAUAUUAUAAAUUCACCUUUGGAUGUUUUCUUUUUAUGUUAUUCAAUUAGCCUUUUCUGACAUUUCCUUCUAUGUUCUUGAUCAACAAAUGUAGAAGAAAUACUAUGUGCAUUUAAAAAUUAACUUUAUUUUUGUGUAGGAUGUGAAAGGAUUUGUUUAUGGGUAAUUCUACUUCAACUGAUAUGAGACUUACUUUAUAUACAUUUUUUUUAAUAACUUAUAUCUGCAAUACUUUCUGCUUUCUCAAUUUUAUUGUAUUUUUCUUAAGAAUUAUGUAAAAAAUUUUAAAUAGAAGCACCCAACACCUGCGCGUUGCGCGGAUUUUCAUCCUCUAGUAUGUUUGAUAUAAAACAAAUACUCCUUCCUUCCCAAUGAAAGUGUCAUAUUUUCCUUUUUUGUCUGUCCCAAAAUUAAUGUCACUUACCAUAAUUGGCAAUAAAAACUUUCUCCCAUUUCCAUCUCAUGCCCUUAAAUAUACCAGAUUCUUUUAAGCUUUUGAUGGGCCCCAAAAAAUUACAAGAAUUGCACUUGAUACACGUGAGUUCCACAGCAAAUGCAAACAAUGGUCGUGCAAGGAACUUUCCCAAAAACGGCUGAGACUUUCUUGAGGCACGGGUCCCACAAAUCUUGUCACCACUCCAAUAUCUUUCUGCUGGUCAAUAAGUGAGUACUCCAUAGAAACCGAACAUGGGUAUUGCUGAAAGUUACACCAAAAUCAUUUGAAAUCUUGACACUGUUGAAAAUAAGCACAACACCCGAAGUGCGACAAUUAUUUCGAGACGGAGGGAGUAUCAUGUAUGGGUAUGGUUAAAAUUGAAAUCCAUUCCUUGUCUUCAAAUCCACUUACCAAAUACAUCCUAUGUCUAGGUUCUAAUCUAACUUUAGUUCUAGUAUCUUUCAAAACUUGUCAUUAGUUGCACAAGUUCAAGGUCAAUCCAAGUGAAAUGUGAAAAUUCGAAAUCAAUCAUGCUCGUUUUAAACUUCCUAAAGCAAGAGUAAAAUAUUAGUUACCUCCCUGUUUUCACCAUGCUUUUUCCAUAUUAGUCAAUUUAUUCGCAUAAGCCAUCUAUAUUUUUAUGACAAUGAACGUGGAAGAAAGCACGUCCAUUUUGUGACGACCCCACCUUCCCCUAAGGCGAACCAAAGGGUUCGGCGGACCGCCUGUCCAACUCUCGCCAGGACUACUAAGCUAAUCACACCCAGAUUGGAACGUUCCGAAUGAUAUAGCAGCGCUCAAACACUUCGAUGACCGUGGAAAACAAACGAAGAAUAAAAAGCGAAACGAAAAAAAAAGAAAAGAAAAAAAAUGCACGGAAAUAGUGACUACCACGUCACUAUCCGGCCGGAUUCAAGGCAGUGGCAACCAAAAUUUUUUUCAAACUCCUACAAUCAAUCCGGCCAGAUAUCCGGGCAAGAUCUGGCCGGAUAUACGGCCGGAUUGUGCUGGACAGUUCCCACCAAAAAUUUUCCCCUAUCCGUUCAAAGGUCGCUCUUGCCCGAAUCCACAGCGGAAACCGAAAACACAUAUUCUGAACCAAAACACCAUAUAGACAUGAUGAAAUACAUCCAUAUAUAUAUACAUUAGAAAGUUUUACAAAUCAAAAAGAACAUUUGCUCAAGAUACAUUUAAGGUUUUCCAACUACCGAGGAGCUAUACAAAGGAAUAUCUAUACUAGCUCAACUCAUUCUUCAAAACAUCAUAGUUCCAAAAGGUUUGUUCCCUGUAAGGAAAACAAUACAACGGAGUGAGCUUUCGCCCAAUAAGGUACCUUCACAACAUGUAUUUGAAGUCACAUAGGCAUAGCUAGCAAGCAAAGAGUGAUAAACACUACAGGUACACAUGGAGUAAAAGGAUACAAAUGGCUCUCAGGAGCCCAUUUCCUCUUGUACAACACUUGAUCCACCUUGUUGACUCUCCGUCAACGCCUAAAGGACAAACAUGACCAUAGACUCCACUUUACCCCAAAUCCGUCCACCGCACAACCCCUUUACCGGGCCCGAACACUAAACAGAACAGAAUUGGUAAUACUCGAGUAUACCAGAAUCAAGAGUCUCAAUAACCAAAGAUUCCCAGAAACAGUUCCCAUGGCUUGUCAUUUUUCCUAGACCAAGCCCUUGCUGGCUCGAUUCAAAUGACUACCAAUGGGGUUGAGUUCGGAUUUAACAGUAAAAUCGUUGGAUGCACAUCCAAAUGACACCAGUUCAAACACAAUCAAGAGAGUUCAAGUGAUACAGUAAGCAGACAAAUAAGCAGUAGAGAACAAGCGUGAUAAAAUACACUCUCGUCUCUUCCAGAACAAACAGAGAUUAUAUUCAUUCAACUCACAGAUUUCAAGUAUGCAUGAAGCAAGGAAACAACAAUUAAGUGAGUGGUACACUUACCGAUUCAAGCAAAGCAAGGUCACAAAUUUGCGCCCGACGUAUGCCUUGAAUCACCGGCACGUCCUAUAACCAUCAAGGAAAACACCAAUUGAGACUCGGACACGAGUCAUAAACCCAAUAUAUUAACUACUAAUGCAAGGCCAAAAUAGAACUUGGAAACAACAAUACAGAACACUUGGUGCCAAAGGUUUAGACCAACCCCAAAGUCUCCCAUUUCCGCUCAAGGCAACCUAACUCAAAGAAACCACAUAGACUUAACAAAUGGACAGCAUAUCCCCUUAAAUUUUCUACUUUUCCAUCCUACAAUCAACCACCAACAUUCAUCCAAUAUGGCCACAAUUACAUACACAAAUCAUAGGCUAUUAGACCCACCUAAUUAGGGCCAUAACACCCUUCAAUCAUAGCCAAUCCAAAGCUCGAAACCAACCAUCAUAAAACCCCAAAUCCAAAACCCUAAACUGAAAUUUAGCUACACAAACGGAAAUUUUCUGCAAACAACCACAACUAACACAUAAAAACUCUAUUUUACACCACAUAAAACUAUCAUUCCAUGGCCAACCAUACACAUCAUAUAAAAAUAGAAAAAAUACCAAUAAAAUAUAAAAUUUACUAUAACUCUACUCUAAACCAUGAAACCUUCCACAAAAUAGCAUCCUUAGUCACGAAAAACCACUAAUUUACCAUUAUUACAAACAAAGAGAGAAUUGCUAAGCAAAGUACCUUGAAACCUCACAAAAGGUGGUAGCUUAGGGUGUCUCCUUCCAAAAUUACUCCACCAAUACCUUUGUUCCUCCUUAUCUAGCACUUCUAUGGAAGGGUUUGAAAUUUAAUCGGUUAGAACUUGAGAUUGAGGCAAAUUUGAAGUUGGAAAUUGAAGUUCUCCCUUGGUUUUCUUCUCAAGAGGGCUGGCCAAGAUGCAAGAGAAAUGAGGAUAAUUUUGGUCAAUUUUGAUAUUUAGUAAAGGUGAUGAAUAGCAGUCAAAGUCCACCCUCCAUUAAUUUCAUGACACUUGCCCUUCCUAUGCUUAAUCUCAUCCUUUUGUCUCUCCAUGGUUAAACCAUCUAGAUAACCUCUAAUUAUCUCCCAACACCUAGUAAAUUGAAUCCCUUUUUGCAAAACUUAACCUAAUUGGCUGAAUUAUCGCACUUAACGCACUAGCGGGUCCCACGUCCAAUAUACACUCCUAAUAUCUCAUGAACUAACUUAUACUAGAAAAAUAAUUUAAAAACUGUAUUCGUUUAUAAAAAUAUCUAAAAAAUUAAUAUAAUAAAAGAAAAUAUGGAGAAUAUGUGUAAGGAAAUCAAAUAAUGACUAGAAAUUAAGAAAAUUUUCAGGUCGUCACACUUUUUCCCCCUUAAAAUAAUUUCAUUCUCGAAAUUUCUCACCUUGGUUAAUAAACAGCUCAGGGUAUUUCUUUUGCAUCUCUUCCUCCACUUCCCAAGUCGCCUCUUCCACUCCGUGAUUUCUCCACAAGAUUUUCACCAAUGAAAUUUGUUUGUUUCUCAGCUUCUUAACCUUUCGGUCAAGCAACUACACAGGUGACAGGCGUCAAACCUGUGCAAUAAUAAAUACCUGCUUAAAUAAAAUACAAAUUCUGUAUAUAGCGGUAAGCAGGGUCGAAUCCACAGGGACUGGGGAUAAUUUAAUUUCUUCUCAAGUUCCAGAUAUGGGGGGUUUUGAAAAUGAUAGUAACUAAAUUACUUGGAAUAAAUUAAUUAAAAUAAAAUAACUACAACUCAAAUAACUAAUUAUCACAAUAAAAAUAAUAAUGGACGAACUCUAGCCAAGAGACAACUUCGGAGAUGGUUCACUUAAUUCGAUCACAGAUGCAAGGAUUAUUCCAGUUACUAUCUGAUAAAUUAGUUAUAGUUGUCAUACACGCGAUAAACAACCAACUCUUCCUCAAUUUGUCGAUAGCCAAGGUACGACCGUUGACUAUUUCUCUAAUCAGGAAAUAACCCUAGGUACGACCAUAGAAGUUCAAUUCCCUAAUUGCAUGAAUAAUUAGAAGAGCCUAAUUCUAACCAAUCAACACGCUACGAGGCGUCUCUUUAAGUUAGCCUGCCUAUCUCCCUGACACAAACCCAAUCAUGCCAGUUGCCACCAGUUUUAGAAUAAUUAAACAAUUACGGAUUUAACUAUCCUAAUUGGCUUCAGGUUAUUGAAUUAAUCUAGAAUCCGGCCCUGGAUAAUCGAAUAAUAAAACAACCAUAUGAACAUAAAGCAGAAGAUAGACAAAUACCAGUGAAUAAUGAAAAUAAAUAAAAACUAAUUCGAUCUCACAAAUUUAGUAGAACCAAGUCCUUCGUUGUUCUUGGCCAGACAAACUUAGCCACGCCUCAUGAGAAAAUCUUCAAGUAAUUUCAUUGAGGUCCAGGCCAUCAAAAGAGCCAAGAAAGAAACGAAACUAAAACUAUGCUAAAAACUGUCUAAACUAAAACUAUUGAUUGAUAAGAGUUCUCUGCACGUUUGUCUCCCUUUUUAAAGCCAAAAGGAAGUCUAAUGCUAUCUCUAGUGGUCCCCACACCAAAUUCAAAGUCUUGUACGUUUCUUUUCCUAGAGUCCAGAUGACUCAUGCUUCUUAUCCGUGGUCCCCGCACAUGUGGACAAAGCCUCCCAAGUACUUGUUGUUCCAAGUCUCUCUACGUUGCUUUCUUUGAAAAGCCCAAAUGACUAAAUGCCUUGCACUAGCUUGUGGUCCCCACCAACUCAAGGACCUAAAGGUUGAAGCCCUUAGAAGUCUGCAUUUUUCCAUACAAGUCCCUCCUUUUUGGUAAUUUUCUGCUUCACUCCUGAAAUUGAUUCCAAAUACCAAAUAUGAGUAAAUAUCAGCAAUUAACACAAUAUUUGUCAGGGAUAGAAGGGGAAAUCAAUAAUAAAUUUACUAACAAAUUAUACCCUAUCAAUUCCCCCCACACCUAAAUCAUGCUUGCCCUCAAGCAUAAGAACAGCAAGUGAACACCAAAAUUUGACAAUGGCUAUUGCUCUAACUAUCAUAUUGCCAAGAUACCCAGAAAAACAUAUAUCAAGCAUCACAGUUAAGAUCCAAGAAAGAUCACUCCGGUUAGCUUCCCAACCACCAAUUUUUCCAAUUUAAAGCAAACUAAUCUAAGAAAAAGGAAUGGUUGCUCACAUUUAUCAGCAAAUGGUCCAACUAUUAACCAAAAUCUCGACAUUAAAAUCACAAACUGGCAAGCUGACUUAUUCACAUACUAACCCAAUCUUUAUUUUAUUUUUUCCUUUUUUUUUUUUUUUUUAAUAACAAAAGACUUAGUCUAUAGCCCUUAGAGCCUUUUGACGCGAACUCCAACAUUUGAUAGAUGGAGGAGCCCGGUUACUCAGCUCUAAUUGCUACGGGACCACGCACUCAUAGUAACUACUACCUUUUGACGCGAGAAUCGACACUUUAGGUGAAGAUCCCCGGUUACUCAGUAGUAACAACUAGUGGAGUACAGUCACCUCUUAUUUACGAUAACAUACCACAAUAACUAGAAAAUAUCACAAAGAUAACAGCAGCCAGCCUCAAAUUUCCAAACAUGGAGAACUAAAAUUAAUAAUUGGACCAAUUCACAUGAAAAAUGCCCACAAUCAUUCCCUAUGCCUAGAGAAGUUAACCAAAAAUUGGAAAAGUUAAGCAAUCAUUGACAUACACCAAAGAGAUGUUCCUGAACUCAACCACAUCAACUUGAUACCCUUUUAUUAAUAACACUUGGCAAUAGCAGAAUUAGAGACAACAAUCCAGUAUCAAACUUGGUAUUCAUAUGAAGACUGACCACUAGAAAAAGAAAAGAAAAGAAAACAAACGAAAAAGGAGAUAAAUAUCAAACUAAAACAAGGAAAAACCUCUAGAAACUAAAAACAAAAAUACUAGCACCCCAACUGAUCUAUUCCCCCCACACCUAAAUCAUGCUUGCCCUCAAGCAUAAGAACAGCAAGUGAACACCAAAAUUUGACAAUGGCUAUUGCUCUAACUAUCAUAUUGCCAAGAUACCCAGAAAAACAUAUAUCAAGCAUCACAGUUAAGAUCCAAGAAAAAUCACUCCGGUUAGCUUCCCAACCACCAAUUUUUCCAAUUUAAAGCAAACUAAUCUAAGAAAAAGGAAUGGUUGCUCACAUUUAUCAGCAAAUGGUCCAACUAUUAACCAAAAUCUCGACAUUAAAAUCACAAACUGGCAAGCUGACUUAUUCACAUACUAACCCAAUCUUUAUUUUAUUUUUUCCUUUUUUUUUUUUUUUGAAUAACAAAAGACUUAGUCUAUAGCCCUUAGAGCCUUUUGACGCGAACUCCAACAUUUGAUAGAUGGAGGAGCCCGGUUACUCAGCUCUAAUUGCUACGGGACCACGCACUCAUAGUAACUACUACCUUUUGACGCGAGAAUCGACACUUUAGGUGAAGAUCCCCGGUUACUCAGUAGUAACAACUAGUGGAGUACAGUCACCUCUUAUUUACGAUAACAUACCACAAUAACUAGAAAAUAUCACAAAGAUAACAGCAGCCAGCCUCAAAUUUCCAAACAUGGAGAACUAAAAUUAAUAAUUGGACCAAUUCACAUGAAAAAUGCCCACAAUCAUUCCCUAUGCCUAGAGAAGUUAACCAAAAUUGGAAAAGUUAAGCAAUCAUUGACAUACACCAAAGAGAUGUUCCUGAACUCAACCACAUCAACUUGAUACCCUUUUAUUAAUAACACUUGGCAAUAGCAGAAUUAGAGACAACAAUCCAGUAUCAAACUUGGUAUUCAUAUGAAGACUGACCACUAGAAAAAGAAAAGAAAAGAAAACAAACGAAAAAGGAGAUAAAUAUCAAACUAAAACAAAGGAAAAACCUCUAGAAACUAAAAACAAAAAUACUAGCACCCCAACUGAUCCCCCACACCUAAUUCAUACAUUGCCCUCAAUGUGAUAAAUAAACAAAUAAUAGUAAGCAAAAGAGCAACGGUACUUCCCUGAAAUCACGGGGACCAUGGCGGGGCCACAGCAGUGAGUGAGGCGGGGAACCUUGAUCUCACUAUUGCCGCUAACAAGUAACCCAAUCAAUAGAAACAAAAUUGCCAACAUAUAGAGGAACAAGUAAAUGCAGAUCAGUAGAAAUCCAUAUCCUCUAAUGAAGUCAACAAUCAACCCAAUAAGCACAGGUAUCUUCCAAUUCAAAAGGGUAGUGCAUAAUAAAUGGCUCACCAAAUUAGCAAUUUAAAGCCCUGAGCAAUUUAAACCCAACAAGUCAAUCAGUACCAGAAAACCACUCCAAUCAAUGUAACAGUUAAACUCCACAGGCAAAGGACGUCCAACCAAUUUCACUCAAGCAAACUAGGAGCAAUGCGACUGAUUAAACAAAGCAACGAAUUUCAGCAAAUGGACUCAAAGCCACCCAAAAUCCCAACAAAUGCCCUAAAGAUUUAGCAAUUGAAAUCAAUAGGUAAAAUACUCCAGCAAGUCAAUUAGACGCCACCAACAGUAAUAAACAAUGGAAGUGGCACAGUAGCCUUCCAAUUCAACAAACAAAUGAAGAAAAUACCCAACAAAGGCACUUCAAGGGACGCAAGAUAGAAAUCAGCAAAGUAGAACUCAAGUGAUACCAAAAAUAACCUCGACAAAGCAGUGAAUUCAACCAAUUUGAAUACGUAGAAUACCGUCAGAAAUGCCUCCCAAAGAUCAACAGAGAGCGACAAAAAUUGCCCACCCAAAUUCUGUCCAAAUGGUUCCAAUUGGAUAAGAAAUUACACAACUCAACCAACCAAAAUUAGCAAAUGAGCCAAGAAACCGUCAAAACCAGCAAUAGUAGUUCAAAUUUUGGACUACAACUAAAUCAAAAUGUUUGGCAGUUUUCGAUCAAGUAGCCACCAACUAGAACCAAGUGGCAACAAAUGUAGUUAUAAUACCCCAACCAGUACCACUGGUUCAUCCCACAGAUAAUGAAGCAACAUAAACAGCCACCCCAAUCAAGAAAAUGGAAACUUCAGGCACCUAAGGACUAGGCGAAAGUCUCAACAAAGCAGCUAUUACAAACAAUAAGCAGUGGUGGUCCGAAUAUUAGUCAAUGCAGAAAUCAUGCAACUCAAAAUCUCGGCAAGUGCUCCAAUGAGCUUAGCAAUUGAAAUCACAAAACCGAAUACUCCCCAAACAAGGUACUUAGAGUCAACCAAUGGCAAUACUAAUUCAACAAACCAACCCAGAAAAUUACUCAACUAAGGGUGCAAUAGGGGUCUCCGAACACAGCUCCAAACACCAACAAUUGAACAAAUAGAAACUAAACAGCCCAAAAAUCAAUUAAGUAGAUAAACACAUAAAAACUUCACUCAAAAACUAAUUAAACAUGGAAACAAUGAAAUUUUCCCCAAAUUACUUCAGAUUCCACCCCAAAAUUGGACAAAUAGUGUCAACCAACCACAGAUGAUAUCACAGCACUCAAAUCAACCACAAAAAUGUCUGGCCUCAGCUAACAAUUCAAAAAUCUGUCCUCAGCUAAUUAGAACUAAUAAUCUGGCCUCAGAUAAUUAGUGACAGUAAAUGAGAGAGAGAUAUCACCGGAGAAAAAUUUUUCAGCUCAUUUGACAGGUUGAGGAGGGACGCGCGUGGCCUGCGAUGGUGGUCUUUGAGAUCGCGCGCAAUGACUGCUGGAGCUCGCGCGCUUGGCUGCUGGAGAUGCGCACGCCUGGCGUCGUGCUGCUGCUGUGCCGUGGGGAGUGGUGCGCGAGCUGGUGGACUGUGCGGGGGAUGCGCGGCUGGAGCUCUGGCUGAGCUCGCACGGGCGCUGGGCUGCGUCGCGCGCAGGGCGAGGUCGCGCGAGGCUGGGCGAGGUCGCGCGAGGCUGGUGGCGUGCGGCGCUGCAAGUGGCGGCGCGCAGCUGGGCUGUAGGCGUGGUGGGCAGCGCUGCAAGUGGCGGCGCGGAGGGCGGCGCUCCGGGCUGAAACUUGGUGGACGGCGGCGGGCAAGGAGAAAAGAAGAAAGAAGAAGAAGAAGAAAAAGAAAGAAAAGGAAGAAGAAAGAAGAAAGAAAGAAAAAAAAAAAGAAAGGAAGAAAAGAAGAAAUAGGUCUACGGAAGUUUUUUUUUUUUUUUUUAAAUAAUAAGGGCAAUUUCGUCUUUUCGCCGCCCUUUUUUUUUUUUUUUUUUUUUUUUUUGCUUGAACGUGACCACCUGGCGUGGGCACGCUCAACUGCUAUGAAGCCCGCAGAACCUGAACGAAAAUUUCCUCCGUCAGGCGUGACCAUCUGGCGUGGGCACGUCUAACUACCAUGAAGGUCGCAGAACCUGAGCGAAAAUUUCCUCCGUCAGGCGUGACCAUCUGGCGUGGGCACGUCUAACUACUAUGGAGGUCGCAGAACCUGAGCGAAAAGUUCUUUCCUUCAGGCGUGACCGCCUAGCGUGGGCACGCCUAACUGCUAAUUCCCCUGCCACCAAACAUCAAACCAUUACUUGACACUAACACUUAACUAAAACUUCAAAAAUGCCCGAAAACUAAAACAAAUAGUCUUGGGUUGCCUCCCAAGUAGCGCCUUUCUUUAAUGUCUUUGGCUAGACAUUUUCAUGUGUAUUCAUGGAGGAUAAAAUCUUGUGGCUCGUUUCAGUGCUUCAUCUUCUAUGUAAUCCUGAUAGCCCUCGUAAAUAGAGUAAUUCUUGGGCACACGAGCUACGGGCUUCCAUGGACUAGUAAAUGGCACCAAACAAACAAGUGAUGAUCUUAAAUCUUCACUCACUCCUCCAUCAAGAGCACUCAUUGGUUCGAGAUAUUUUGCCAUCAUGACUCUUAAUUUAUUCCUGGCAUGAAAUUCAAAAUCGUCUGGUAUAAUAAAAUCAAUCUCACUAACAGGAAUUAAAGAAUAAGAGUCAGGAAAAUAUUGAUCAAGGAAUAGAGGAGAUGUCACCGCAUUUGGAGAUUGUUCACUGGAUUCAUUCACUUGAACCAUUUGAUGUUGGGGUCUCAAUUCUUGCGCUUCAACUUUCUUUUCAACUGCAUCUUUGGAUUCUUCUUCUUGAGACCCUUGCAAUACCAUGUCCUUUGUCAGAAUAAUUGCACUCUCAUCUUCCUCAUGGUCGAUAAUAGUCGGUGAGGACAAUUCUUCAUAAACUGGAGAAAUCAAUUCGCUCGUUUUAAAUGCCCAUUCAAGCCUUGCUUCUUUCAUCUCUUCACUCAUUUUUUGUACCUCCUGUUGAAUUUGAUAUAUGUUAGUAGCUAUUAAUUCAACCAUUUCUUCAAGAGACAUACCUGACAUGGAUGACGGUUCUUGAGACUCUAGCUGUUGAAAAUCUAGUGGCCCUGUUGUAUAAUUAUAACUGGAGUUAUCCCACCAUCCUUGAUCAUACCCGUUUGGAUUAGGGUUAUACCACGUUUGAGACCAUGGUGAAAAAUCUCCAUAAUUAUUGAGUGGGACACUCAGAUUAUCUUGAUAUUCGGGCACAUACCGGUCGAAUGAUCCCUGGCAUAACAAAUUUUACAGGUUGCAGCAGCCAUUCUUUCUCUAAUAGAGUUUACUGCCUCUUUAUAUGCAAACUUAGCAAAAAAACUAGUCUCAUCGCCUUCCCCGGAAACAAAAUCCAGUCUAUCACCAAAAUACGGAGUGUUAGAAGCCAUAAACUAUAUAAAAAAAAGAAUAGAGAAAAAUAAAUAAUAAAAAAAAAUGAACUAAAAAGAAACAAAUUAAUCUGGCACCAGUCCCCGGCAACGGCGCCAAAAAUUGACAGGCGUCAAACCUGUGCAAUAAUAAAUACCUGCUUAAAUAAAAUACAAAUUCUGUAUAUAGCGGUAAGCAGGGUCGAAUCCACAGGGAUUGGGGAUAAUUUAAUUUUCUUCUCAAGUUCCAGAUAUGGGGGGUUUUGAAAAUGAUAGUAACUAAAUUACUUGGAAUAAAUUAAUUAAAAUAAAAUAACUACAACUCAAAUAACUAAUUAUCACAAUAAAAAUAAUAAUGGACGAACUCUAGCCAAGAGACAACUUCGGAGAUGGUUCACUUAAUUCGAUCACAGAUGCAAGGAUUAUUCCAUUACUAUUGAUAAAUUAGUUAUAGUUGUCAUACACGCCGAUAAACAACCAACUCUUCCUCAAUUUGUCGAUAGCCAAGGUACGACCGUUGACUAUUUCUCUAAUCAGGAAAUAACCCUAGGUACGACCAUAGAAGUUUCAAUUCCCUAAUUGCAUGAAUAAUUAGAAGAGCCUAAUUCUAACCAAUCAACACGCUACGAGGGUCUCUUUAAGUUAGCCUGCCUAUCUCCCUGACACAAACCCAAUCAUGCCAGUUGCCACCAGUUUAGAAUAAUUAAACAAUUACGGAUUUAACUAUCCUAAUUGGCUUCAGGUUAUUGAAUUAAUCUAGAAUCCGGGCCCUGGAUAAUCGAAUAAUAAAAACCAUAUGAACAUAAAGCAGAAGAUAGACAAAUGCCAGUGAAUAAUGAAAAUAAAUAAAAACUAAUUCGAUCUCACAAAUUUAGUAGAACCAAGUCCUUCGUUGUUCUUGGCCAGACAAACUUAGCCACGCCUCAUGAGAAAAUCUUCAAGUAAUUUCAUUGAGGUCCAGGCCAUCAAAAGAGCCAAGAAAGAAACGAAACUAAAACUAUGCUAAAAACUGUCUAAACUAAAACUAUUGAUUGAUAAGAGUUCUCUGCACGUUUGUCUCCCUUUUUAAAGCCAAAAGGAAGUCUAAUGCUAUCUCUAGUGGUCCCCACACCAAAUUCAAAGUCUUGUACGUUUCUUUUCCUAGAGUCCAGAUGACUCAUGCUUCUUAUCCGUGGUCCCCGCACAUGUGGACAAAGCCUCCCAAGUACUUGUUGUUCCAAGUCUCUCUACGUUGCUUUCUUUGAAAAGCCCAAAUGACUAAAUGCUUGCACUAGCUUGUGGUCCCCACCAACUCAAGGACCUAAAGGUUGAAGCCCUUAGAAGUCUACAUUUUUCCAUACAAGUCCCUCCUUUUUGGUAAUUUUCUGCUUCACUCCUGAAAUUGAUUCCAAAUACCAAAUAUGAGUAAAUAUCAGCAAUUAACACAAUAUUUGUCAGGGAUAGAAGGGGAAAUCAAUAAUAAAUUUACUAACAAAUUAUACCCUAUCAACAGGUUUUUCCUCAUAAGUGAGUGACUCAUCUAUCUCAAUCUCUUCCGGUUGUAAGAUGUGGGUAGGAUCAAGAUAGUAUUUUUUUAGCAUCGAGACAUGAAAAACAUCGUGAAUCCUGGACAAACUUGGUGGUAGUUCCAGUCGGUACGCCACCUUUCCAACUCUUUGGAGAAUUUUGAAGGGUCCUACGAAUCUAGGUUGAAGCUUCUUUCCUUUUCCCGCCGUGACACUUCGUAAUGGCGUAAUCUUGAGAAAGACAUGAUCUCCAGCUUCAAACUUCAAUCUUUCCUUCGGUUGUCCGCGUAGCUCUUUUAUCGGCUCUGCACUGUUUGAAGUCUUUGACGUAUCAACUUGACAUUUUCUUGUGCAUCCUCCAUCCACGGGAUGGUUGUUGGAUCCAAAAUCCUCUUUUCUCCCACUUCAUCCCAAUAGAUCGGUGAUCGGCACUUCCUCCCGUAAAGGGUUUCGUACAGUGCCAUUUGAAUUGACGAAUGAUAACUAUUGUUGUAAGCAAAUUCCACUAAUGUCAUGUAUUGGCCCCAACUGCCACCAAAAUCUAAGAUGCAAGUCCGUAGCAUAUCCUCAAGAGUUUGAAUGGUUCGCUCGGACUGUCCAUCCGUCUGGGGAUGAUAGGUGGUGCUAAGGUUGAGUUUGGUUCCCAAGGUUUCUUGAAGUUUCCGCCAAAACCUAGAUACAAAACGAGGAUCCUUAUCCGAAACUAUACUCACAUGGACUCCGUGUAGUCUCACAAUCUCAUCCAUAUACAACUAAACCAAUUUAUCAAUGGAAUACUUCAUGUUUACCGGCAAGAAAUGGGCCGAUUUGGUUAACCGAUCGACGAUCACCAAACGGCAUCAUAUCCUCGUUGUGUUCGUGGCAAACCUGAAAAGAAAUCCAUCAUAAUAUUUUCCCACUUCCAUUCGGAUAUCUCAAGGGCUGUAAUAAUUCAGAUGGUUUUGAUGCUCAGCCUUAACUUGUUGACAAACGAGACAAGUUUGCACAUAUCGGACAAUUUCCUUCUUCAUGUUAUCCCACCAAUAUACCCUUUUCAAGUCCUGAUACAUUUUGUUACUUCCUGGAUGGAUCGUAUACUUCGACGGUGAGCUCCCUCCAAGAUUUCGUUCUUCAAUGUUUCAUCGUUAGGCACCACUACUCGGUUUCGGUAAUUCAAAAUUCCCUCAGGAUUCCAAUUAAAAUCAGGGGAUUCUCCCUUAUCCGCCUUCUCCCCCCACUUCCGUACCAUCGAGUCUUUCUUUUGGGCCUCUUUAAUUCACUCCAGGAAAGUGGAUGUCAUCCUAACGUUACUAAAAAUCACCUUUUGACCUCCAAGACAAGGAUUCCAUUCACUAACCGAUUCUAAUAGGCCCCACUCCUUAAUCAUUAAUCCAGUCACUUGAGCCUUUCGACUUAAAACAUCGGCCACAACGUUAGCCUUCCCCGGAUGGUAGUUGAUGGUGCAGUCAUAGUCCUCCAGAAAUUUCAUCCAUCGCCGUUGCCUCAUGUUCAAUUCCUUUUGCGAAAAGAGGUAUCUAAGGCUCUUAUAGUCAAAGUAAACCUCGAAAGUUAUCCCGUAUAGAUAGUGUUUCCAUUUUUUCAAAGCAAAAACAACUGCGGCUAGCUCCAAGUCAUGGGUUGGGUAGUUCUGCUCGUGAGAUUUCAGUUUCCUCGAGGCGAAAGAUAUCACAUUCUUGUUUUGCAUCAAUACGCACACCCAAACCUUCCCUUGAGACAUCGGUAUAAACAGUGAAGCUAUCUAUUCCAUUAGGUAAAGCUAGAAUUGGUGCCAUAGUUAAUCUUCUCUUCAAUUCUUGAAAACUAGCUUCACACCUAUCGUCCCACAUAAACGACCAUUUUUCUUUGUCAAGUCGGUUAAAGGACUAGCAAGUUUGGAAAAAAUCCUUAAUAAAACGCUGAUAAUACCCAACCAAUCCUAAAAAACUCCGAAUCUCAGUGGGGUCUUCUGGCCUCUUCCAUUCAAUCACUACUUCUACUUUCGCCGGAUCAACAGUGAUGCCUUCUCGUGAAUUACAUGCCCCAAGAAAGAAAUUUUCUUCUACCAAAAGUCACACUUACUAAACUUGGCAUACAACUGCUGUCUUUUAGGGUUUGUAAGAUGAGUUUUAAGUGCUGCUUAUGCUCCUCUCGAGAAUUUUGAGUAAACCAAAAUGUCAUCGAUAAAUACCACUACAAAUCGCAUCUAGGUAGGGUUUAAAAAUCCUAUGCAUCAAAUCCAUGAAAGCAGCAAGGCAUUGGUUAGUCCAAAGGGAUGACUUGAACUCAAAAUGCCCAUAUCUAGAAUUGAAGCCAAUCUUUGGUACGUCCUCCUUCCUAAUCAACAAUUGUAGUACCCCUGACGGAGGUCUAACUUCGAAAAGACCACUGCUCCUUACAACUGGUCAAACAAUUCAUCAGUAUGGGGCAGUGGGUAUUUAUUCUUAAUGGUCACAUUGUUCAAACCCCAAUAAUCUAUGCAUAACCGCAAGCUCCCAUCCUUCUUCUUCACAAACAGCACAGGAGCUCCCAAGGGAUCCACUCUCUCGAAUAAAACCCUCACUCUAAUAGGUAUUGUAACUGCAAUUUUAACUCCUUCAACUCAGCAGGGGCCAUUCGGUACGGCGGUCUUAGAAAAUAGGUGACGUUCUCGGUAACAAGUCGAUUUUAAAUUCUAUCUCUCUUUCCGUAGGUAAGGUUACUAACUCAUCAGGAACACCUCUGGAUAUUCCUUCACCACCGGUACAUCUUCUAUCUUCAACUUAUCAACUGGGUAUUGAUUAGAAAAGCUAAGAACCCUUGCGCCCCUCUGUUCAGGAGUUUCCAAACCCGAAUACCCAAGAUCAAGGCAGAUAAGGCUAACCUACCCCUUAAUCUAGGCUUAAGGUUGCGUCUCCUCAGGAAUACAAAAUUCUACCACUUUUCUCUUACAAUCAAGUUGAGCAUUAUACCGAGUCAACCAAUCCAUGCCUAGAAUUAUGUCAUACCCUUAAUGGACAAACUUAUUAAAUCCCCAACAGCUUCCUCUCUCCUAUCCAAACUUCACAAUUCUUAUAAACCAUACUAGUGCAUCAAACGAUGGUCCCCCGUAUGAGUACUAACUUCUAGAUCUUACGGUAAACUAGCAGGUUUUAUAUCAAUUCUACACAUGAAAUUAGGUUGACAAAAUGAAUGAGUAGCACCGGAUCUACUAAAACUUUCGCAAAUCGGUGGAAUACAGGGAUCGUACUUUCUAGACCUCAGAAAGAAUCCGGGACCUGUUGUGGCUCUAACGAGUACACCCGAGCAAUACUUUAGGUUUAGUCCCUUCCACCUUAGCUUGUCCAGAAGUGGUCCUCGUCGGUUGCUGGCUCCCACUUCCGUCUCAUGGCAGGACCGGGCAGUUGGCAAAUUGGUGGUCUGCCACUCCCACAGCGCAAACAUUUUCUUUCCUUCCUCAACGAUUGUCCUCGGUGUGGUUUGGCUUCCCAUAAUACCCGCAAGGACCGCAAGAUGCAGAAGCUGAGCCUCCCUGGGAACCUCCUCUUUGGCCUCGCCCAACUUGACCACCUCUUGAUGGGGCCCCUCUCGACAUUCCCAGCAGCCUUCCCCCUCCAGUUCCCCUUCCAAACUUGGGAGGGGUACUCUUAUCCCCUGCCCCCAAGCUACUUUCAGGAAACCCUCGUUUCUUCGCUUGAAAGUUUCUCACUUGCAGCCUGCAUUUUCAACUCGUUGGGCCUUUUCCACUGCCUCACUAAAGCAGUAAUUUGAGCUACAACUAGGUCUUUUUGGAUUUCCACAUUCAGCGUCUUGAACAAAACGCCUUAUUCUUCGUUGCUUGAUCAUAAUUAGUUUGGGGGCAAAUUUGGACAAUCGAGUAAAUUGGCUCUCGUACUCGGCUACGGUUUGAGUUCCCUGGCGAAACCAAAUAAACUCGUCUUCCUUCCUUUCUUGAAUUAAAGGAGGAAAAAACUUAGCGUUGAAUUCCCUCAUUAAGUUCACCUACGUCCUUGGGUCUGUUCUCUUUCCCAUUUUUGUCUUAUUAUGUUCCACCAAGAACGGGCCGCCCCUUCCAGUUGAAAGACAGCAAAAGUCACAUGCCCCUCCUCUGUAUAAUGCAAGGGAGCGAAGAUGUCCACCAUCUUUUCCAACUAUCUCUCGACCACAUCUGGAUCUGGCCCACCGAUAAACUUGGAUGGGGAAAACUUUUGAAACCUUUCGAGAGCUCUAUCCUCGCUCUCCACUUGGUUGCCAGGGUUUACAAGUUGGGGAUUAGGGUUUUGACCCCGGUGCUCCACUACAUAGGGCUAGCAGGUCAGUCAUUCGUUGGAUAGCUGCGGCUACCUGAGCAUUCGGUCAAUUCUAGGUUCAGGAUUCGAUUCAAGUAUUGGUUCCUGGUUACCCCUUUCAUUCGCGGGUUGUCUAGUUCCGUGUCCAUGAUCUCGCCCACUACGAGUACCCUCCAUUGAAUUUAACCAAUCUAGGGUUGAAGCGUGAAUAUAACAUUAAAGAUAAAUAUAUGCAAAAACAAUGAACAAAAGAUACUCACAAAUCAAAAGCAUAUAUAUACAUAUAACACAACCCUAUCAAACAAGUCACACAAUAACAGUCAGGUAGAUACAAACAAAGAGAAUUCCAUGAAAGAACGGGGUCACCAAAAGUACUUUGUACAAAGCUAGCCCCAAAAUACCAAAAAUACAAAAGUAGCUAGCUAAGAGUUCUUCCUUUUGACUACUUCUUCCAUAGAAUCAAAACUUGGCUCAAAGAAGCUUUAACUUAGUUCCUGACUGGGCCCACAGACUCUCCCCCUUGGCUAGAACUAGGCGUAUUCCCCUCUCCAGGUGCUCCAUCGCUUGGAGUCUCCGCUUGUACAUUGGCGCCAAUCACUCCUUGGAUUAGUGCCUCACACUCGUUAAUGAUGCCUCCAGACCGAUCCCUAACUUCCCUGACCACCCUCGUAAGACGGUCAUUAACUACCUGCAACUACUCUCUAAGAGCAUUUGUUCUCUCUUGCUCCAUGACUAUGUCCCCAUGGAGCUCUCCAAUCCGGUCCGUUUGCAUCCUCAUGAUACCCCUUAGUCUAAGCAUCUCAGUACGAUCCCUGGCGGCAGCACGUCUAAGCCUCCUCUUUCGUCUAGUACCGCCACGACCACAUGGUCGAUGUAGGAGUAAUUUUGGCAACGACUACAGCGGCAGGUCCGAUUAACAGUAUACCAAAGCUGGAUCAGACCUCCAGGCCUUUCUUGAUAAUCCAUGACACGAGGGCGUCUUUGAGGCGGCUCACCUUUGCACCCCUCAUUGGUUCCAGCCAUAACUUACAAGAAUAACAAAGGUCCACAUCUUAGACAUGGUACUCACACUUAACGGCACCUUACUACACACCCCACAAGUCCUACGAGAUACAGUUCUAACUCGCCUAAGUCACUUCUAACCUAGGCUCUAAUACCAACUGUGACGACCCCACCUUCCCCUAAGGCGAACCAAAGGGUUUGGCGGACCGCCUGCCCAACUCUCGCCAGGACUACUAAGCUAAUCACACCCAGAUUGGAACGUUCUGAAUGAUAUAGCAGCGCUCAAACACUUCGACCACCGCAGAAAACAAACGAAGAACGAAAAUGAAACGAAAAAAAAGAAAAGAAAAAAAAUGCACAGGAAUAGUGACUGCCACAUUACUAUCCGGCCAAGACUUGGCCAAAUAUCCGGCCGGAUCAUCGGCGGCGAUUCAAAGCAGUGGCGACCAAAAUUUUUUUCAAACUCCUCUGCCAAACCAGCCAUAUAUCCGGCCAAGAUCUGGCUGGAUAUACGGCCGGAUUCUGCUGGACAGUUCCCCGCAAAAAGUUUCCCCUAUCCGUUCAAAGGUCGCUCUUGCCCGAAUCCACAGCGAAAACCGAAAACACAUAUUCUCAACCAAAACACCAUAUAGACAUGAUGAAAUACAUCCAUAUAUAUAUAUACAUUGGAAAGUUUUACAAAUCAAAAGCAAACAUUUGCUCAAGAUACAUUUAAUGUUUUCCAACUACUGAGGAGCUAUACAAAAGAAUAUCUAUACUAGCUCAGCUCAUUCUUCAAAACAUCAUAGUUCCAAAAGGUUUAUUCCCUGUUAGGAAAAUAAAACAACAGAGUGAGCUUUCGCCCAAUGAGGUACCUUCACAACAUGUAUUUGAAGUCCCAUAGGCAUAACUAUCAAGCAAAGAGUGAUAAACAUACAGGUAAACAAGGAGUAAAAGGAUACAGAUGGCUCUCAGGAGCCCAUUUCUCUCUUGUGCAGCACUUGAUCCACCUUGUUGACUCUCCGUCAACGCCUAAAGGACAAACAUGACCGUAGACUCCACUUUACCCCAAAUCCGUCCACUGCACAACACCCUUACUGGCCCGAAUACCAAACAGAACAGAAUUGGUAAUACUCGAGUAUACCGGAAUCAAGAGUCUCAACACCCAAAGAUUCCCAGAAACAGUUCUCAUGGCUUGUCAUUUUUCCUCGACCAAGCCCUUGCUGACUUGAUUCAAAUGACUACCAAUGGGGUUGAGCUCGGAUUUAACAGUAAAAUCGUUGGAUGCACGUCCAAACGACACCAGUUCAAACACAAUCAAGAGAGUUCAAGUGAUACAGUAAGCAGACAAAAAAGCAGUAGAGAACGAGCGUGAUAAAGUACACUCUCGUCUCUUCCAGAACAAACAGAGAUUACAUUCAUUCAACUCACAGAUUUCAAGUAUGCAUGAAGCAAGGAAACAACAAUUAAGUGAGUGGUACACACUCACCGAUUCAAGCAAAGCAAGGUCACAAAUUUCCGCCCGACGUAUGCCUUGAAUCACCGGCCACGUCCUAUAACCAUCAAGGAAAACACCAAUUGAGACUCGGACACGAGUCAUAAACCCAAUAUAUUAACUACUAAUGCAAGGCCAAAAUAGAACUGGGAAACAAAAAUACGGAACACUUGGUGCCAAAGGUUUAGACUACCCCUAAAGUCUCCAUUUCCGCUCAAGGCAACCUAACUCAAAAGAAACCACAUAGACUUGACAAAUGGACAGCAUAUCCCCUUAAAUUUCCUACUUUUCCAUCCUACAAUCAACCACCAACAUUCAUCCAAUAUGGCCACAAUUACACACACAAAUCAUAGGCUAUUAGACCCGCCUAAUUAGGGCCAUAACACCUUUCAAUCAUAGCCAAUCCAAAGCUCAAAACCAACCAUCAUAAAACCCCAAAUUCAAAACCCUAAACUGAAAUUUAGCUACACAAAUGGAAAUUUUUCGCAAACAACCACAACUAACACAUAAAAAACUCUAUUUUAAACCACAUAAAAACUAUCAUUCCAUGGCCAACCAUAGACAUCAAAUAAAAACAAAAAAAUUACCAAUAAAAUCUGAAAUUUACUACAACUCUACUCUAAACCGUGGAAACCUUCCACAAAAUAGCAUCCGUAGUCACCAAAAACCACUAAUUUACCAUUAUUACAAACAAAGAGAGAAUUGCUAAGCAAAGUACCUUGAAACCUCACAAAAGGUGGUAGCUUAGGGUGUCUCCUUCCAAAACUACUUCACCAAUACCUUUGUUCCUCUUUAUCUAGCACUUCUAUGGAAGGGUUUGAAAUUUAAUCGGUUAGAACUUGAGAUUGAGGCAAAUUUGAAGUUGAAAUUGAAGUUUUCUCCCUUGGUUUUCUUCUCAAGAGGGCCGGCCAAGAUGCAAGAGAAAAUGACGGAUAAUUUUGGUCAAUUUUGAUAUUUAGUAAAGGUGAUGAAUAGUAGUCAAAGUCCACCCUCCAUUAAUUUCAUGACACUUGCCCUUCCUAUACUUAAUCUCAUCCUUUUGUCUCUCUAUGGUUAAACCAUCUAGAUAACCUCUAAUUAUAUUGAAUUCCCUUUUUGCAAAACUUAACCUAAUUUGGCCGAAUUAUCGCACUUAACGCCACUAGGAGGUCCCACGUCCAAUAUACACUCCUAAUAUCUCAUGAACUAACUUAUACUAGAAAAAUAAUUUAAAAACUGUAUUCGCUUAUAAAAAUAUCUAGAAAAUUAAUAUAAUAAAAGAAAAUAUGGAGAAUAUGCCUGCAAGGAAAUAAAAUAAUGACUAGAAAUUAAGAAAAUUUUCGGGUCCUCACACAUUUACAGUAAUUGACCUAGACGUGCUUAUAAAGCCAUGAAAUAUGAAAUAUAACAAGUAGGGGGAAUAAAUGAACUGAGCUAUUUGCAAGCUCUGCUUAUAUAAGUUCAGGUCGCCUCAUUUGUUUAACUAGAUUAGUCGGGCCUGACCACAAAAUUAAACUCAUUUAUUUGAAACCAACUUAGUCGAAGCCUCAGCGUCAUGAAAAGCUUUGUUUGAAUUCAUUUUAUGCAUUAUGGAUCAAGUAUGUUAAUUUUUGGGUUGCAAUAUGACAUAGGAACCAAGCUUGAGCUCAUUCCAACACGUUUUUUUCUUUUUAUUAAAAAGUUGAGAUCAAGUUUAUAGCUCUAACCUGGAAUUCUUUUUAAUGAGUCGGGCUCAAAAAUGAUUUAAGCUUGGUUAAGAAAUCAGUCAAGCUUGAUAUUGGUUUAUUAAUUAAAUGAGUCUGAGCUUAAAAGCCAGAUAUGUGGCUCGGAUUGGCUUGUUAAUAGCUCCGUGGUAAGAUUAUAAUAUCACUUUAUCCCUACUAUGGUUUUUGAAUCGACCAUAUAAUUUCCCUGUAGCCUUAUAUAAAGUGUUAGGCACUUCUGUGUGUCUAGUAUGUGAAAAAAAAUUUAAUUAACCUUGUCACUAGAGGUGAUUUUAGUCCAUUUUCCACUUUGUGUAAAUCCACAAGUGGUUAAAUAGAUAUUCUUGAAUAAUAGAGACUAUUUGGGUAAUACGCAAAAAUAAAGAGGGAUGAAACACUAAUUUUUCACUGAAAUUAUAGCCAAUGAAGUAUCGACAAAAUUUGCUUAUUUUCCUGAAUCUUUUUUAUGAUUAUAAUUAAAUUGCAUUUCCACUUCUUUUCUACUGCCUUUAUCCACGGAUGAAAUAAAGUGACAAAUUCGAGAGGGAAAUUUAGCGCAUGAAUUGCUAAUUAGAUCAUCCCCUUGAUUUUAUCUAUCACUUAAUCCUCUUAUAAUUAAAAAAUAUUAACUUAACGCCCUACGAUUUUGUACAUAAAAUUGAAAUUGAUGGAAAGCCCUCUAGUAGCAGCUUUAGUUAAAAAUUUCAAUUAUGCCGUUGUCUAAUACUGAUCACUAUGAGGUUCCAAUCUUAAAAAAAAAUUAAUAAAGGAGGAGUGGAAUCUAAAAAAUGGGGGAAAGGAGCUGAUUUGAUUUCAGAUCCUUUAAUUCUUGAAGUCUCAUCCAUGAAUUAGACACUACGAGACUCUAAUCACAUUACAUAAAAUUAUUUGGGGACACUUUUGAACCGUAAUGGAAUUGAGUAAUAUAAUGGGAAGCCACAAUGGCUAAAAAUUGAUUUUACCAAAUUUUUAUGAAAAUUUUAAUACGCAAUAAUAUUCUUGGAAAAUAGGAUGCUAAUAGGCCGUUUUGAUAAACUUGGCAAUCUGGACAUGGAUGAUCAUUUAAGUGAUGUACGUGACGACAUAAGAAGAAAAUUUAAACCAAGUGUAGAAAUGCUGCCCCAGAAGAAAAUUCUGCCACAAUUACCUUCUGCAACAAGAACACGUUUUAGAGCUUAUGCCUUCUUUACAAACCAUUUCUCAUAUAUUAUUCUGCUAAACAAAACCUCUAACGAGAGCUACUUUUCCCUCCCCUUCCACUUCUGUACUGCCUGAUCUUCAUUGCUUCCACCCUGAACCACAAUCACCCUACACCGCCUUAUGGACCAUGAAGAAAUCAAUGAAGAGCAUGCACCACCGCCCAAUCAAGAACUACCGGCACCGAUACCCAAGAAACGGUUCCCAAGAAACACCCUGAUUUUGAGGUUGGCUACUGCCUUCUCUGUUCUCAAAACAAGCAUACUGAAAAUGGCCUCAAAAGGACACAAUAAAAGCUGUCACACCAAGUACCUCAAGAAUGAGUGCGGUACUUGCCAGAACGUCUUCAAAACCCAGGCCGCAUUGCAACUGCACAGAAGGCCUGGCCCACCUGAUCAGUAACACUUUCUCUGAUCUAUCCCCUGUGAGAAAAUUGAUCAAUCAUAUGAGGGGAAGGGGAUGGUUAAUAUUCUUGGGAGAAGCCAAGGACAAAGUUGCUGCUACGUUACACUUAAAGGAUAACUCCAUUCAGGCGCGCUCUGAUUGCAACUUUGCUCGUUACGCUUGGGUGCAUAAUCGACAAGCAGCUCUGAGAUUUUUCAAGAAUCAAUUUUUAUCAGAAAGAUCUAAAAUUUUUGCCUUUUAGUCCGUGGAAAUAUGUGUAUAGAUGUUGAUUUCUUUAUGGUGAAUAUAAAGAAGAAUUUUCUGCUUUUAAUCCAUAGAAAAAUGUGCACAGAUGUUGUUUUCAUUAAGGUGAAUACAAAAAAAAAAUCUUGAUUAUGAUCUUUGGUUUUAAGGGCUUCAUGUCAUAAUCUGAUAGCAAUCUUCAAGAUUCAAUUUUUCUUGGUCUUUAGACGAAAAAAUCUCAAACUUUUAUGUUUGUUAUCCAUAUAUAUGUGCACAAACAAUGAUUUCUUUACUCUGAUCGAAUCUGCUCUGUUGCAAUGAAUGCUGCUGCGAACUUGCUUGGAAAUUUUGAAAAUGUUCUUGUUGCUGAUUUUUGGAUUACAUGUUGAAUUGCAGUAUAUAUCUAAUAUCACGAGAAUCGUCAAACAAAGACAAUCUGAUGUUUAAGCAGAUAACCAUUAUAGUUAUCUAUAAGUCUAAGGAAGUAAUUAUUAUAGUUAACUGACUUGUUAGUCUUUAGAAUCAGGUUUCCAGACUGCUUUAGAAGGAAUGAGAUAUUCAGGUUUUCCAUGCGGCGCGUAUUGUUCUGGAGUUUUUGAUAGGAGAAAUAUGUUUGGUUAUCAAUUAGCAUUUGAGCUCACUAGUUUUGCACUGUCCUUUUUUUAUGACAACUUUGACUGAAAAGCUAAAGUCUUCCUUUAUCCAAUAUGCAGGGAAAUAAAGUGUGAUAGGAAGUAUUUAGACAUAUUACUUGUAUUCUGGUAAGUCAAGUGUUAUUAGGAGGGUCUCAUCGGCUAGUUCUGUCUUUGUUCUGGGGUUGUUCAUGAUUUCUGUAAUCAGAAUUAUAAAAUUAAUUUGGAAAAAUUGAGUAGAAUUCUGUUUUUGUUUUUAAUCAGUAGUACCUGUUUACUCUUCUAAUCAAUAAUUUCUUUCACCUCUCUGUCCUUCACUCUCUUUCCUUUAGCUUUGAUUUUUUUUCCCCUUUCAGCUGCAUAUUUCCCUGCAUCUUUCAUCUCUCUUGUAUAAUAGUUAGGAAGAAAGGAGUUCAAUUUUUGUUAUAAAAUGGUAAAUGAGCUUUUACUAUCUAGUUUAAUGAGGUAUUUGAUGGGAAACUGUGUUUCCUUUUUCAUUUGUAGAUUGGCAAGUGGAAAAGCUCUGUUAAUAUUUAUUUAUAUAUUUAUUUAUUAAGUAAAUCUUCCAUGGACUAGAAACAUUUGUGUAGUAAUUGAUGUUUGUGUGCAAAAGAUUCAUAUUAUACACCAUAGAUGUUUAGCUUAAAGUGCUUUUCUUUUUUAAACUGAAAGAUUAAGAGCUUUUGAUGGCUAUAGUGAUCUACUAAAUUUUGCAUGUGGCUCCAAUAAACAGAAUACAAGAAUCCUGAAUUUCGCUGCCUUUAUUCUUUAUUCUUUCUAGUUUUGGGCUUAAAAAAAUAAAAAUAGGUUGAAAAGAGAAAAACAAAAAAAAAAAAGAAGAUGUUUUUGGGACUUGCAAUCUCGUUAGUCACAAGACUUUUGGGUGUCAUUUUUAAUGGUUAAUUAGUGAGUUUCAAUAAAACAUGAUACGAAAGAUCUUUUGUGACUAUUAUUUGCAUGUCACAAGUAAAUUCUAGUUUUUUGACUUUUUAUUACAUUCCAAAUACAAGUCAUAAAAAGUAUUCUUACAAGUCAGAAUUUUAGAAUGACCUUCAUGUACAGUCACAAAAAAGUUUGUGACUACACGACUCAUGUCACAAUGUGGUCACAAAAAGUUUUUGUGACUACCUAAACCUUUUUAUGACCAUCAUUGACGGGUCACAAAAACAACAUUUCUCAACUUUUUCUAGUACUAGUGAAUCUUCUAUACCGGGUAAUUUCAUUUUCUUUUUUCUUUUUUUUGUCUGUAAAGAUGUCUAGCCAAUUUACGUACACACGUCCCAUUGCAACUCAAUUUGCUGUUAUCAUGGAACCAUUUUUUCACAUAAAUCAGGAAUUAAAAACCACAGCUUCAACAUUUCCACUCCCAAAUAGCAGGCCACCACAUUGCCAUGCCAGUAACAUAACAUAUUUACGCCAUAUUAUAUCGUCAUGCCAGUAACAUAACAUAUUUACGCCAUAUUAUAUCGUCAUGCACAUCAACCAAGCUCAUGAAAUGAGAAAAUUCUUGAAUUAACGAAAUAUAUCUCACAAAGAGCUUUAAAUGUUCAACAAAAAAUAAAAAAUAAAAAUCUUUAUAAAAUACUACAAUUUAGUGACACUUAGAAAGAAAAGAAGUUCCAACAAACCAAUUCUUGCAAAACUAGAAAACAAAUUUGAGCUUCGGACGCUUGGGAUCUUCCAAAGGUCGAAAAUGGUCUGAUAUGGAAAAACUAGAACAAGAAAAAGGAAAAUCACUUGAUGAUCAAGUGAAAUUUUGGUUUAAAGAAAUAAUAGUUGGGGAUUAUUGUAAGUUAAGCUAGUAAAUAAGUCCAAACAAACUAACUUGUAUGUGUUUUUUAAUUACCAUUUUGCCCAAAAACCAAUUUGGAUAGAGGUGUGCAACAAAUUUAAUUCAGUUAUUAAAUUGCUUCUCUCAAUGUUUUCCCAUUACGAAUCAAGAUUCACUUUAAAAAAACAAACAACUAUUUAUAAUUCAAACAAAGAUGUAGCUGAAUAUUACAAAAGAUUCAACGAACCUAUGACUAACAGAUUUUGGUCCAAAAAUUUUGAUUCAAAAUUUUCAUCUCCACAGUUGUGCCAAAUUCUUGUUGACUUUUUAAAGGUUUAAUUGUUGUACGUGUUUGUUAAUUACCAUUCUCCCCAAGAAUCAAUUUGGAUAGAAUUGUGCAACAAAUUUAAUUCAGUUAUAAAUUACUUCUCUCAAUUUUGUUCCUGUUACAUAUCAAGAUUCACUUAAAAAACAAAAAGCAAACAACUAUAUAAUUCAAACAAAACACGUAGCUAGUAGUGCAAAAGAUUCUACAAACCUAUAACACUAACAGCAGAUUUUGGUCCAAAAUUUUCAUCUCCAUAGCCGUGCCAAAUUCUUGAUUGACUUUUUAUAGGUCUAGUGGUCGAAUGCCUGUUGAUUACCUUGCAUUCUCCAACAAUGAUCAACUUGGACAGAAGUGGGCAACAAAUUUAUUUCAGUUAUGAAUCACUUCUCUCAUUGUUAGAUCCUAUAACGAACUAAGACUCAAUUCAAAACAAAAACAAACAACUAUAUAUGAUUCAAACAAAACAUAUGUAGUACUACAAAAGAUUCUACAAACCCAUAACAAUAACAACAGAGAAAUUGUCUCUAUUUCCGUGGACGAGUAUCAUGAGGGUCAGCAGUAUUAGUACUGACCCUAGCAACAUCCCUAGCACUUGCUUCAGGCUUUUUCCUAGCAUACAAAGUGAAGUAAAAGAUCGAACCAGCAAUAGUAAAGCCAAUCAGAGCCAUAGUAGUAGGACUAUACGGCAAAUUUCUCCUUUGAUGCAAAACACCACCAGGGUUAUGGCCUGGUGGCCUUUGUGAGUUGUCUGCUCUUGCUUUUCUCACAUCUUCUGAGCUCAUUUUGUGGGUGUCCGCAUUGUUCCUCCUCCAAUCAUCUCCUGCCAUUUUUUAACCUCUUUCUUUAUUCUUCUUGUUUUUCACAAAUACAAAGUUGGGAAUUUUGUAAAAUCUGAAGUUGGGAUUUGAUUAUAUGGUCUAUAACUUGUAGUGUGUGACUUUGUGUAAUUGGGGAAGUAGGGAGGGCGGUUCUGCCACCUUCUUUUGAAUAUUGAUGGGUUUUUGGGGUGAUGAGAUUGGAGUUGGACGUGUCAAUUUAGAGAGGAUUUUGUGGUGACAUGUUACAUGCUGAUGCAUUGGCUUUUGUGGACAUCUGUCAUAUUUGAGGAAAUUUAGGUGUAUUUCCUUGAAGGUUUAACCGACUGGACUCACCACCAUAAUAUUUUAUGUUCCAUUAAAUGAUUAUUUUUGUUUUCUUGUAGUAGAGGUUGGUUAUAUUUGUUCAUCUUGAGAUUUGGCUAAACAUCCUCGCAUAAUUUUAGGUUUUUGCUAAAAUCUAGUUUUUUCUUGUUCUCUACUCAAUUUGACAGGACCAGCUCAAACUAAGUUAUUAUUUCUUUUAAAACGGUUAUUCUAUCUAUUUUUUGUCACGGCAAGUUAAUAUGGAAUUACUCUAAGACACAAAUACAUCAGCAACCUUCUAGCAAAUACUCCCUCCGUCCCAGAAAGUGUGUCGCGUUUCGGGACUUGCAAUUAUUACCAACAGUGCAAGACUUUUAAAUGAUUUGCUUUAAGUUCCGGCAAUAUCCGCUUGACUUUCAAUGUAUUCAUAUGUGGUUAAAUGAUAAAAGGGCUACAAGUUGUGAUAAGACACGUGAGACCCAAAAGAAUGAAAUGUCUCCACACUACUUUAGAGGAAAGUGUCAUGCACGAGUGUUAUUUGUAUUUCACGUGGGAGUCACGAACUAUUAAGUGCAUGUUGGUACUUGGUCGGUGAGCAGAAAUGUGUCACAUUGGGCCCACUAAAAGAUAAGAAAAGGCUGUCACAUUAAAGGGUAUGGAGCGGAAAUGUGCGAAAGUUUUCAUUGCCAAUUUUAGCAAAUGACAAUCAUUUUGGGACAGAUAAAAAAAAAAAGUAUGACACUAUCAAUGGGAUGGAGGGAGUAAUUCUUUUAUCUUUUGAUCCUUUUUUUUUUUACCUUUGUAUAUUAACCUUCUUGUGCUCCCGAACAUUGCCCACCAAAAUCAUGUAUUCUGUUUUUUGAUAUCUAUACAAUAAUAAAGGGAGGGAGGUAGCAAUUGGAAUACAUAUUUUGUGUCAUUUUUUAACUUCCAAUUUUUUUCUUAAAAAUUUGAUUUUUAUCUUAACCACCUAAUCACAUUGCUAAUAUAAUCUCCCAUAACUCCCUUAAAUAUUGUAACUAUCAAAUUAGCUAUAAUUGGAUUAAAGAAAAAAUUACUAAUAAAUUGUAAUUUUUUCAAUGAAGAAUUUAUAUAAAAUUUAAUUUUGUAAAAAAUAAUAUUAAUAUAUUCAUAAAAAUUAAUAAUUAUUUCUAAUUUGCACACACAUUGGGUGUGCUCUAAGCACUAGUAUAAAUACUUCUAUUCCGAUUAAGACUAAGAGUUUUUUCUUAGACUUUUUUUAUUGUAAGUGAGAGGUCUCAAAUUCGGAAUCUCUCACUUACACUUCGUCUCCCAUAUCACCGAAGCCAUCCCGCCCUUGAUUAAGUCUAAGAGUUACCUUUGAACAAUCUACUCUUUUCUAUAUUUCAACCAUUCUUUUUAAUACUUAAUUUACUUGUUUUAGUUAAAAACUUCUUGUGAAAUUGUAAGCCACAGUCUACUAGUGAUUUUUUUUUUAAGCGGAUCUUUAUAGUACUUUAUAGUUUAAUCUAUGGUACCAAUUCCCCUGGUGAUGCCUAGAGAAAUUUGAGGAAAUGUGCAGGGACGCAACCUGUAAUUUUAAAUUGAGGGGGUGAAACAUUGACAGCUAAAUACUGACUCAUUGUUUUUUUGGAUUAAGCAUACAUGGAUAAUUUCAAUGACAAUGCAUGCAUUCUGUACACCCCACUAGUUGAAACUCUACUUGAACUGACUACCAUCAUUUCUUGCUCUAUUUUCUUUCUUAUAAAUUCUUAUGUUACUUAUAAGAUAAAUCAAUUUGUUUCCUUCUAUUUCGAUUUGAAAAAUAUUUUUCUGUUCAAAUCUUAGUCACUGUGAAUGAAAGGAGUGGACAGAUCUUAGUACAAGCAAAUUGAGAGCAUUUGAAGGUAUAUUGACUAUUGAUAAUGUUUUAUUUCUAUUUUUCAUGUAUUUUGGUAGGUGUCGAGCCUGUGCAAUAAUAAAGGCCUACUCAACGAAAAUAUAGAUUUACAUACAGCAGUAAGCAGGGUCGAUUACACAGAGACUGGGGAAAAUUUGCUCUUUUUCAAGUUAAAGCGGAGUGGGGGGAUUUUCAAGAUUUAACGACUAGUAAAAAAUCACAAAGAUAAUAAAACAUGCAAAAGAGAUUGAGAAAGGCAAUUAAUGGGGAAAACUCUAGCCAAUGUUACACUUCAGAGAUGGCUCAAGUAAUUCAUCCUUGAUGCAAUUAUAAUUCCAAUAUUCAUUAAUAAACAGGUUUUUAACUGUCGAAACGAUUUGACAGUCAGUUUCUCCUUACUGUUUCGAUAAUCAAGAUUCGAUCAUUGACUAUUUCCCUAAUUUAGGAAUAAUUCUAGGUACGACCAUAGGAUUUAAUUCCUCAAUUACAUUAGAAACUAGAGAAACCUUGUUCUAAUCAAUAAACACGCUACGAGGGUUUAUUUAAAUUAGAUUGUACGUUUCCGCAACACAAACCCAACUAUGCUAGUUGCUACCAGGAUUAGAGUAGUCAAAUAAUUACGGAUUCAACUAUUUCAAUUAGCAAAUAGAUUACAUGUAUAAUUAAAUAUUGCGCACCUAUUCAAUCACACACACUAAUCAUACUCUAUAAAGCAAAAAGCGUACAAAUAUCAAAGAAUAGAGGAGAUAAAUAAAAUCAAUUAGAUCUCACAGUGAUAGCUGAACCAAAUUCUCGGUGUUUCUUGACUAGAAAAGAAACUUAGUUGCGCAUGGACAAUUGAAACAAUUCACACCAAUUUUCCAAAGCCAGCCACAUAAGUCUUUGAUAAGAGAAAUACUAGAGAAACAAAAGAUUAAAAGAAAGAGCCCUGCGGCUCCCUUCUAGGUAUCAAUCAUGUGGGAUGCCGGCUUCCCCUACUAUAAGUACUACCAAUUUGGUUUCUUCCUUGGUCAAUCGAGACCAGAAUGUUAAUUGACUAAGGUAACUCUAAGAAUAAUGCCAAUCGUUUCCUAAUAAGACAUCUAAUAAAAAGUGACAGUUUCUUAAUCUUCAACCAAUACUCCCCGUAGACUCCAUCUUGAUUUGGAAAACUUGCGCUUGACAAUCAACUCCAAGAAAAUCAGUCAUUUUUAGCACUUUUUACUCCAAUACCCUACAAUUAAUAUAAAACAGCAAAUAUAAAUAAAAUCCGACAAUUAAAAUAAUAUUUGGCUAAAAUCAAGGAGAAAAUAAUUAUAAAUUUUGUAACAAAUUAUGACUUAUCAAUUUCCUCCACACCUAAACCAUGCUUGUCCUCAAGCAUGAGAACACAAAUCAAGCAAUCAAAUUCAAACAAUGGCUAUUACUCGAACCAUCUAUUGCCAAAAUACAAUUAAAAAAUAUUGUCAAGUAUUAGUGGCAAUUUUCAAAAAAUAUCUUUCUAGUUAGCUUUCAAGAUCAAAGAUUCUUUCAAUUUAUGACUAGCUAAUCUAAGAAUAUAAAAUAUUCAACCAGCAUAUCAGCAAAUGGUUCGACUAUUAAAAAAAUCUCAAUAUUAAAAUUCAUGGAUCAGCGGGCUAACAAUUCAUUCAAACACUUCCACAUUUUUCACUAUUAACAUGUAUUUUUUUUGUUUUCUAAAAUUUUCCCACAUUUGAUUGUUUUUUUUUCAGGGGAAUACUUAGCCUUUAACCAUUUAAGCAUUUUGACGCGAGCUCUGACAUUUGUCAAAUGAAGGAGCCCGAUUACUCGGCCCUCAUCUCUUAAAAAUUACAUAUUCAUAACUAUCGUCGUUUUUUGACGCUAAAAUCGACACUUGUAGUGAAAACCUCCGGUUAUUAGGCAACGAUAUUAGCAGAGUAUAGUCCAAUACUAUUCAUAAAUAAGCACCAAAUUAAAUUAAAAAUCACACAAACCCUCUUCAUUUCUUAAACGUGGAGAACUAAGAUUAAUAGUUGAACCAAUUUACAUAAAAAAAUGCUAGACAAAUAUUUACAAUACUUAGAAAAGUUAACCAAAAGUGCAAAAGUCACAAAAUCUCAAGUAUUUACCAAAGAGAUACCCUUAAACUUAACUAUGUCAUACUUAACACCUUAGAAUAUAAAAUCUUACCAAUAGAAAAUUUUGAAACAUCUAACCAUCGUUUAUCAAAAACAAUCACGAAUAUGCACAAGUUGUGGCAAAAAUUGGAUAAAAUUCGACAAAGUCAAACAAAAACUUCCAACAAAAAUGUCUACACUUGCACUUUUUCAACAUAUUAUCAAUAUACUACUCUCUCCACACUUAAAUAUUAUAUUGUCCCCAAUGUAAGAGAUAAAGAAUAGAAUACGAAACAAAAGGGACAUUGAAACUUCCCUGAGCACAUAAUGGAAGGUCUCAAGCAGCUAUGACAUAGGUGGGAAUGGUGGUGUGAAACCAAUAUGAUGGAUCUCUACUGCCCCAAACCAAAAUCGGAGAUGCCAACAGAUAGCGAAAGCGGAGAUGGUCAUGGGUGGUGGCUAGCGACGGCAGCAUGGUAUGGUAGUGACGGUGACGAGCAAAAACGGCGCAAGCAGCGGCAAUGGCGUGCGAGUGGUGAUUGGCAGCCGAGUAUAUUCGCGGAGAGAGGGAGAGAUAACAGCGGCAGCAGGAAAGGAAGAAAAGGGGAGGGAGAAGAGAAAAAAAAAGAAAGAAAAAGAGAAGAAGGAAAAGAAUAGGACAACCGUCGUUUAAUUGAUAGGAAGUAAGAAAGGGCAAUUUUAUCCUUUUACCCCUUUUCUUUAACCGCUGUGUUAGACGUGGGUAGGUCUAACUGCCCUUGAAUCUUCUGACCAACUCUCGGAAAUUAAGUUCCUUAAGCGUGACCACAUGACAUAGGCACGCCUAACUAAUGUCGAGUCUUUUGCCGAAAUGACGAAAAUUCAUACUUUAGGCAUGACCACCUGGCGUGGGCACGUCUAACUAUUGAAGAGUCAUUUGCCCGCAAACGAAAGUUGCCUUCCUUAGACAUGCCCAAUUCGCAUGGGCACGUCUUAAUGGUAAGAAGCCUGCUAAUUAUCAAUAACGAAAAUUUAAGCCACCAAAUAUGAAAAGUCUAAGAGAAACAUAUUGAAACACAUAAUAAAUGAUAAAUAAAAAAUAAAAAAUUAACAAACAACUAAAAAAAUGGAUUGGGUUGCCUCCCAAUAAGUGUUUUUCUUUAAUAUCUUUAGUUAGAUAUUGCCAUGUUUAUUCACGGAGGAUAAAAUUGUGUAGUUCGUUUCAGUGUUUCAUCUUCUAUGUAGUUCUGAUAUUCCUCGUAAAUAUAGUAAUCGCUGAGCACACGAGAUACGGUCUUCCAUGGACUAGUAGAUGGCAGCAAACAAGUCAACAAGAAUCUUAAUUCUUCACUCACUCCUUGAUAAGGGUUUAUUUUACGUAUUUUUAAGUGCAUUUUAUUAGUUGAUUUUGGUUUGAUUAUUUAGUUUUAUAACUAAAAUAAAUAGGUUUUGGUAAAAAUAUACAUUGUUUGGUAAAAGUGGCUAUUUUUGCAUUUCUAUUGAUUUUAGUGAUAAAAACUUCAUUUUUAUGCAGGUUUAAUGAUUCAAUCAUCAAAGAAUAUCAAGUGAGGUGAAAAAUAGAUAAUUGGUAAUGAAUUCAAGUGGUUAAAAGAGAAAUGAAGUGAAAAACGUUCAAAGUGAGGAAAUGAAAUUCAAGACAGUUUUGACACUCUUCGGUAUUUCGACUAUAUCUGGAGCUACACUUAUUGAUUGAUUGAGGUGAUCUUUAUACCAUUUUAAAGCUAAGAAAGAGCCUACAAUUUUUAUGAAGAUAACGAAAUCCAAUUCUUCUGUUUUUAUGGACAAAAAGUCGGAAUACAGAAGCUGCAUUCUGUGGUCGAAAAUUGAAACAGGGGUUUGACUAGGUGAUAGUAUUUCAAUCAUAUCUCAGGCUAAAAAGCUCCGAUUUGGAUGAUUCUAGAAGCAUUGUAAAGCUAACUCAAAGGGCUACAACUUUUGUGUUUUGUACAAAAGCUAGUUCGCCCUUCAUCAUAGAGAGAAUCGCAGUUGAAACAAGGCCAAGUUGAAAACGCGAGUUGAGAAAACACGAGUUUAUGCCGCGUUUUGUGUAGUCGCGUUUUGUAGCCGAAAAUCUGCAAUUUGCUCAGCCAUUUCUCUUGUGUUCAUACCACUUUCCAACUAUAAGUUGCAAGGGAAUUCGGUGCACAUGCUUCAGAAGACAAAAGGGCAGACAAUAUGGCUUAUUUUUCAAGUCAAAAACAUUAGUUAUUGACUAUCUUAACAAAUUUCAGAUUUGGGAAUCAAAGGGUGGAAAAUUUGACCAGGAAAAAGGAGUUUUGGACCAGCUUUUAUGCAAAGACAUUGGGGAGGUCAGAUCACCAUAUGUAGGGAGUUUUUCAUCUGGUAACAUUUUCUCUCUAGCUAGAAGUUCUUGAAGAAGCAAUUGGAGAUUCAUCUUGUACAAGAACAUAGCAGAAAUUUGAGGGUUUCACCAUUAAUUGGCUAAGCUUUUGUUUUAUCUUUCUUGUAAUUGUACUUUAUGAUAUUUUGUAUUAAUAAACUUAUGAGUUUGAUUUUUAUUUCAUUCAUGAGUAGCUAAUUUUCUUUAUCUAGGGAGUAGAUGAAACUUACGGCUAAAUAAUAUGAAUUGAAUGUGAUUUACACUUGUUAUAUAUUGUAUUAACUUGUCUAUUUGUGCAGUUGUAAUUACUUGUUGUUGUUUGAUCACCAAUAGCAUGUUCAUAGUUGUUAUUAGUCAAUGAGAAUUGAUAGUAACAAUAGAAAAACAUGAGUAGAGCUUGAGUUGUAUGUUCAUAAAAAUAGAUGUACACUUAAGUGAAUUUUCCAGCAUUUCAUGAAGAAAAACAUAGUAGAACUAGUAUUUCACCAUGAAAAUAGGGAAAACUAAAUUGCUUUAGACCAUUUCAUCAUGAGAAUGAGAUUUGGUAAUAUUGAAAAUGAAUCCCUGGUUAAACAAGAAAAAUAACAAGAGGUAAAUCUAUUCAUUUGUGUUGUUUAUGCCAUAAGUAGAAUCUACAUCCCUAAAUUCAAUCUUUAGUGAAAUUUCUCCAUUUGCAUUUAACACUGAUUAAACCAGAUUUGUAGACAAUAGCAUUAUAAUUUUCUUACUCAGAUUUAUUGUAAGUCUAAAUAAUAGAGAAAAAUAAGGGUCUAAUACUUGUUUAAUUUGCUCCUCGUGGGAUCGACCUGAUACAUACCCUACGUUACGAUUUCAGCCUGUACACUUGCAGUCAACGGGUAUAAAAUCGGAUUUAAACUUGCAUUGAUAUAAAAAUCCCGUCAAGUUUUUGGCGCCGCUGCCGGGGAGCGGCAAUAUUAGGGCCUAAUCAUCUCUAUUAAUUUAGAUAUUUCCAUUAUUUUUAUUCAAGUUGUUUAUAGCUGAUUUUAAUAAUUAAAACUGCAAAAAUUUCUCUUAUUUUUAUUUGUAGUGUAUGCACCGAUCAAAUCGAGAAGUUGCACUUUUCGAUUCUGAAAUUGAGAGGACACUACGGAGACAAAGGAGAAAUACAUCACAUCAAGAGGAACAAGAGGUUUGGUAGCCAAUAGAGGAAAUCUUGAUAGAGUUAUCAUUUGAGGAAAAAAUGGCGGAAAAUGAACCAAAUAGGCGAAUUCUACGAAAUUUUGCUUUACCGGAAACACAAGGUUCUCAAACUAGCAUUGCAAGGCCAACGGUAAAUGAUAAUAAUUUUGAGAUUAAACCAUCACUAAUUCAAAUGGUACAACAAUCUCAAUAUGGAGGUAAUGCCACCAAAGAUCCAAAUUCUCACUUGUCAACAUUUCUUGAAAUCUAUGACACAAUUAAGUUUAAUGGUGUUAGUGAUGAUGCAAUUAAAUUUCGAUUGUUUCCAUUUUCACUAAGGGACAAGGUCAAGGUCUGAUUACAAUCUCAUCCACCGAACACUUUUAUAACUUGGGCUGAAUUAGCUAAGCAUUUUCUUAAUAAAUUCUUUCCACCUGAAAAAACUGUUAAACUUAGAAUAGAUAUAACUAGUUUCUCUCAACAGGAAGGAGAGACAUUGUAUGAAAUUUGGGAGUGUUAUCGGGAACUGUAAAGAAGAUGUUCUCAUCAUGGUUUACCAGAUUGGCUAGUAGUCCAAAUAUUUUACAAUGGUCUCACCUAUCCAACAAAGACGCAUGCAGAUGCGGCAGCGGGAGGAGCAUUGAUGGGAAAGACAGUUGAGGAAACUCAACAAUUGAUUGAAGAAAUGGCUGCUAACAACUACCAAUAGGCCAACGAACGAGGUAAUACAAGGAGAACCGCAGGUAUGUUUGAAGUAAAUACCUUGAAUAUGUUAAGUGUAAAAAUGGAUAAUAUGGUUAAGAUACUUAAUAGGGACAUUGGUUCUAACUCUAAUCAAGGAGUAGUUGUUGCAUGUUGUACUACUUGCGGCGGAGAUCAUGAUGAUUCUAUGUGUUCUAACAGCGAACAGAUUCAAUACCUCAACAAUUACAACCGUCCACUCGAAAAUAAUCCAUACUAUAAUACCUACAAUCUAGAAUGGCGUAAUCACCCAAAUUUUGGAUGGAAGGAUCAAGCGAACCAACAAAGACCAAGUAAUCCACCGAAUUUUCAACCAAAAUAACCAUUUCCGGAGUCCAAACCAGUUUGGAAAUUGGCAAUUGAGAAGCUGGCAAAUGUAUCAAAUGAUAAAAUUGAAAAGUUAGCCAGUGCCACUACUCAACGGUUUGAAAGAAUUGAGGGACGGAUGGACCAACUCACCAAUAUGUACAGGAAUGUUGAGAUUCAAUUAGAGCAAUUAGCAAAUGCGGUUAACAAUCGCAACCAAGGGGAUUUACCUAGUAAGACUGAGGUGAACCCAAGGGAGCAUGUGAAGGCUAUAACACUCCGUAGUGGUAAGGAAGUAGGUGAGCCGCCUGUAGUUGAAUGUGAGAGAGAAUGUGAAAGAAGAGAGAACAAGCAGUUGAGUGAGUUAGAAGAGGAUAGUAAGAAAAUUAAAGGGAAAGAAAAGGUGGAAGAAAAUGAGCCACAAAUUGGAGAUACAACACCAAUUCCACCGUUGUCAUUUCCACAAAAAUUGAAUCCUUCAAGAAAUGACAAAGAAUUUGAAAAGUUUGUCAACAUUUUUAAAUAAUUACAUAUUAACAUUCUUUUGUUGAUGCUAUUUUGCAGAUUCCUUCAUACGCAAAGUUUCUCAAGGAGAUAAUGACUAAAAAAGGAGGUUAGUGGAUAGUGAGACAAUUGUAUUAACGGAAGAAUGUAGUGCCAUCAUACAAAAUAAAUUGCCACCAAAGUUGAAAGAUGCAGAGAGUUUCACAGUUCCUUGCACUAUUAGUAAUGUAGAAUUCUGUAAAGCACUUUGUGACCUUGGUACAAGUGUGUCAUUGAUUCCUUUAACUGUGACUAGGCAAUUGGGGUUGAAAGAGUUAAAGCAUACUAACAUUUUCUUGCAAUUGGCUGACAAGUCUAUUAGACAUUCGAUGAGCAUAUUGGAGAAUGUGCUCAUUAAAGUACAGAAAUUCAUUAUUCCUGUUGAUUUUGUUAUUUUAGAUAUGGAGGAGGAUGUCAAUGUACCUAUUAUACUUGGUAGACCAUUUUUGGCCACCGCAGGUACAAUAAUAGAUGUCAAACAUGGUAAGUUCAAGUUCCAAAUCGGUGAAGAGGAAGUGGAGUUUGAUUUGAGUAAAGUGGAGAAAUAUCUCUCUUUUACUGAUCAUGUUUAUUUCGUUGAUAUAUGUGAUGAAUUGACAUUAGAGAUGAGUCAAGUUAAUCUUGAUAAUGAUUAUCUUGAACUUUGUCUUAAUGGUAUAGGUAUACAAGAGGAACAAGUUGAAGAAAUGACUGAAUUUUUGCAGGCACAGGUUUCUUACAAAAGGAAAAAUGCAUAUGAGGAGUUAGAACUGAACAAAGAGCUACCUCCACCACCAUGUGAGCAAGCACCACAGCUUGAGUUUAAACCAUUGCCUAGGCACCUUAAAUAUGCGUUUCUUGGUGAAAAAGAGAUAUUGCCGGUAAUCGUCAAUGCAGCAUUAGAUGAGGAACAACUAGGCAAGCUAUUAUGUGUUUUGAGGAAGCAUUGAAGGCUAUAGGAUGGACAAUUUUUUAUAUCAAAGGAAUUAGUCCAAUUAUUUGUAUGCACAGAAUUUUAUUGGAAGAAAAUUCUAAGCCAGUGGUUGAAACUCAAAGAAAGUUAAAUCCAAACAUGAAAAAAGUGGUAAGAGUAGAAAUUCUUAAAUGGCUGGAUGCAGGUAUAAUUCUUCCAAUUUCUGAUAGUGUUUGAAUUUCUCCUAUACAUGUAGUGCCAAAAAAAGGGGAUAACCAUAGUACAUGGUAAAAUGAUGAAAUGAUUCCUUCUAGAGUUGUGGUUGGGUGGCGAGUCUGUAUUGAGUAUAAAAACUGAAUGUAGCUACUAGAAAGGAUCAUUUCCCUCUUCCUUUUCUUGAUCAAAUGGUAGAAAGAUUGGCUGGAUAUAAAUUUUAUUGUUUCUUGGAUGAUUUUUCAGGAUGCAAUCAAUAGUCAUUGCAUCGGAAGAUCAAAAGAAAACUACAUUCACUUGUCCUUACGGCACCUUUUUAUUUCGAAGGAUGUCUUUUGAUUGUGCAAUGCACCGGCUGCCUUCCAACGAUGCAUGAUGGUAAUUUUCUUUGAUUUUAAUGAGAGAAAUUAUGGAAAUCUUCAUGGAUGAUUUUUCUGUAUUUGGAUCUGCUUAUGAUGAUUGUCUUAACAAUUUAGAUCUAAUUUUGCAGAGAUGUGAAGAAACAAACUUUGUACUCAAUUGGGAAAUGUCAUUUCAUGGUUUGUAAGGGUAUUGUGCUAGGUCACAAAAUUUCUUCAGAAGGUAUUGAGAUUGAUCAAGCCAAAAUAGAGGUUAUUGAGAGAAUGCCUCCACGUACCAAUGUGAAAGGCAUUCGAAACUUUCUUGGACACGUGGGAUUUUAUCGGCGGUUUAUUAAGGAUUUCUCCAAGAUUGCUAAACCUUUAUGUGAAUUACUUGCAAAAAUGUUCCUUUUCAUUUUAAUGAUGAGUGUUUACUUGCUUUUAAUAGGUUGAAAAAGGAACUUGUCUCUGCACCCAUAAUAGCAUCACCGGACUGGAACGUGUCAUUCGAAUUAAUGUGUGAUACAAGUGAUUUUGCAGUUGGGGCUGUUUUUGGGCAAAAACAUGAUAAGCGACUUCAUGUCAUUUAUUAUGCAAGUAAAAUGUUAAAUGAAAUCCAAGUCAACUAUGCAACAACAGAGAAGGAGUUGCUAGCAAUGAUAUUUGCAUUGGAUAAGUUUAGAUCGUACUUAGUAGGAUUUAAAGUUAUCAUUUAUACUGACCAUGCAGCACUCAAAUAUUUGUUAAAUAAGAAAGAUGCAAAACCUCGACUAAUUCGAUGAAUUUUGUUAUUGCAGGAAUUUGAUUUAGAGAUCAAAGAUAAAAAAUGAUCCUAGAAUUUAGUCGCUGAUCAUCUUUCUAGACUGGAAAACAUACCUCAAGAAGACCAUUCAACCAUUAAAAAAUUUUCAGAUGAGUUUUUAAUGGCAAUUUAUAAGUCACCAUGGUAUGCUGAUCUAGUUAAUUUUGUAGUUAGUGGAGUGAUACCAAGUGAUUUGAAUUCUCAUCAAAGAAAAAAGUUCUUAAAUGAUAUUAAACAUUACUUUUGGGAGGAACCAUUCUUUUACAAACAUUGUGUAGAUGGAAUAAUUAGAAGAUGUGUUCCGGAAGACGAGGUACAUAGUAUAUUAAUGCAUUGUCAUACACUUGAAACAGGAGGUCAUUUUAGCACAACUAAAAUCGUUGUAAAAUAUGGCAAUCUGGAUUUUAUUGGCCUACUAUGUACCAAGAUGCUAGAAAUUGGGUUAAAAAUUGUGAUCAAUGCCAAAAAACCGGUAAUAUCUCAAGAAAGAAUGAAAUGCCUUUGACUACGUAUUUGGAAGUUGAGUUAUUUGAUGUUUGCGGCAUUGAUUUUAUGGGACCAUUUCCUAGUUCAUAUAAUAAUAAGUAUAUCCUUUUAGCAGUUGAUUAUGUCUCUAAAUGGGUAGAGGCCAUUUCUUCACAAACUAAUGAUGCUAAAGUUGUGCUUAAGUUCCUUAAACGGAACAUAUUUUGCAGGUUUGGAGUCCCAAAGGCAAUAAUAAGCAACGAAAAUAAGCAUUUUUGUAAAAAAAUUAUUGACACUUUGUUGCUUAAAUAUGGAUGCAGGCAUAAAAAGUCACUCCCUUAUCAUCCUCAAGCCAAUGGUCAAGCAGAGUUGGCCAACCGAGAAAUUAAAAGCAUUUUGGAGAAAACGGUCAAUCGAUCGAGAAAGAAUUGGUCGAACAAGCUUGGAGAUGCUUUGUGGACAUAUAGAACGGCGUUUAAAACACUAUUGGGAAUGUCUCCAUAUAAGCUUGUUUAUGGAAAAUCGUAUCAUUUACCUAUAGAAAUAGAACAUAAACCUUAUUGGACAGUUAAAACUAUUAAUUUUGAUUUUAAAUCUGCAGGUGAAAAGAGAAUUCUUGAGUUAAGCGAAUUGGAGGAAUUGCGGUUAACGUCGUAUGAGAAUGCUAAGAUUUACAAAGAAAAAGUGAAAUUUUGGCAUGAUAAACACAUUCUUCCUAACCAUUUUGAAGAAGGGCAAAAGGUGUUAUUGUUUAACUCAAGCCUUAAAUUAUUCCCUGGAAAGCUUAAAUCUCGAUGGUCCGGGCCAUUUGAAGCGGUUCGCAUGUUUCCUUAUGGAGCAGUGAAAAUGAAAGGAGAAAAUGGUGCCCCAUUCAAAGUAAAUGGUCAAAAAUUGAAACUCUAUUUGGUCGGAGAAAAGGUUCCUAAAGGAGUAAUUUACUCCUUAGGAAAUGCAAUGGAGAGUUAAAGAAGUUAUAGGAGAGUCGAGCCAAUGACUAUAAACAAAAGCGUUUGUUGGGAGGCAAUCCAAUAAUAAUAGUGUAUUAGUGUGUUUUUAUGUGUUUCUUACAUUAUGGUGUGAUUUAAUUGACUAAUUAGAUGUAUUUCACUUGUUUGAAGGAGGUACGGGAGUUUCAUCAUCCAUCUUGGAAGUACAAUUGAAGAGCAAGUGUAAAAAGGGAGGUUUUCUUAUCAAAUUGUGUUUUAAAGUGCUUAAAAUCCCCAUAUAUAUAUACAUUGUGCAUUUCAAGUAUAUUCAAGUGAGUUUUGGUGAUAACAUGGUUAUAAAUGCUCAUGGACUCAUUUGGUGUGCAUUUAAUGCCCAAAAAUGCCAUUUUGGUGUAAGAGUGCAAAAAUGAUUAAAGAAUCUCACCCCUCGAUUUUCAAUAAAGAUGUAUUUGAUAUGUUUUGAGAGGUUGGAUAUUGUGUUUACGGUAUAUUACAUGUGUGUGGGAGGUUGAAAUUUAUAAAAAGUUUGUCCAAUGUGUAAUUUAGAAUUGGCUGGAAAAGGGAGAAAAAGUUUGAAAAUUUGCAGUUUCUGUAAUUAGUGUAGUGAAAGCCAGAUCCGAGCUCGGAUCCAAUUCAGCCCAGAAGGAUCCGACCUCGAAUCCAUAAGAUGCGAGCUCGGAUCCAAUUGAACUCAGAUGGAUCCGAGGGCUCGUCUGUGUUUCUGGUGAGACGGAUCCGAGCCCUGUCGGAUCCGAGACCUCCAGAACCGAUCCGAGCUCUGAUCGGUUCGCGGAUAUAGCAGAAACGAAGCCUCGUUUCUGCACUUUUCAAAAUUUUUCAUCCCUCUUUCACCGAAACCUAGCCCUCUCUUUCUAAUCUUCCCUUUUAACCAUCAAUUCUCCAAUCUUUUACCAUAAACACCUCCCCAACCCUUGUAUGAUCAGAAACCCCAAGCUAUUUCAACGCAAAACAUCAUCAAAAGUGGAUUUUGAUCCUAAAAAGGGAAUUUUGGGCCGCACGGAAAUUCUUCAAUUUCUGGGUGAUUUUCGUUUGUUUUCUUCCUCAUUUUAGCAACAUCAUCAUCCCCUAUCAUUACUCUACGCAUUUGAGGUAACAAAUUGCAACUUUCUUUGAGAUUUUAUAGUUCCCAAUUUUACAUUUUUUUUAGUUUUUGGGAAUAUUGUGAUAAAUGCAUAUUUGUUGGAAUUUCUUGAUACAAUUGUGCUACAUUAUACUAAAAUAAGUUGUUACAACAAUUGUUAUGCUUAGUAUUGAGUGAAUUGCAGAUUUGGUGAUAUGUUUGAAAAAAAAAAUAAAAAAGAAAAAAAAAGUUCAAUUAAAUAAGAAGUAGUUAUUCAAUAAGUUGAAUUUGUUUUAAUAGUGGUGGUGCUUAUCUUUAUACCAUUUACUCGACCCAUUUGAUAAAGAAACAAAUUGGUAUGAAGUCCAUGGAUAUAAAUGCUACGUGGAUGAAUUUGAAUGAUAUGUUAAGUAUGCUGAGAAUUUUGGACAUGUGCUCUUGGAUAGAUAAUUUUAAGUAACAUUGAUGUUGCAAUUGAGCUUGAGAAGUAGUUAACUAGGCUAUGUACUUGAAUUUGUCAACUUUUGGCAGGGAGUUUAGCCCUUUUAUAAGGGGAAACUCUGCCGAAAUUUUCUUAAAUUUCUACUUAACAUAUGAGAGCAAGUUUAUAUUAUUUCUAAUAAAUAUUCAUUUUCGUUUUGAUUUAGGCAUGAUGGUUCGCACAAGAAGGGCUAUUAUUCAUACAUCUUCGCCGUCUUCGAGUGAAGAACAUACACCUUCGCCGUCUUCGAGUGAAGAAAUACACCUUCCUUGCAUGAGGAGUCGCCAGUGGAGGAGUCUCCUUCACCACAGUCCCUACCUCGUUCUCGCCGGAAGACUGUGUCUACUAGCUGCGAAGAGCCGCUUCCAGAUUAUGAUACCACGCGAUUCACCUCACUCGAGAAUCAACAGUGGUAUGAGGCCGGUCUAGACAAGGAGAUCAUUAUUGAAAAAUAUUUGGCACAGGAGGUGGAUGACCACUAUAAGAUCUCCACGGCAUUCAAGGGACUCGGAUAGGAGAAUAUACUACAGUUGCCUAAGCAUUACUAUCCUAAUAUGGUCCGGAGUUCUACGCCAAUGUAGAAAACAAACAGAGCCACAGUGGCAAUCUCAUCGUCUCGUGGGUUUGAGGCAAGAGAGUGGCUCUCAAUCGGGAUACACUGAGACACUUCGUCCAAGUCAAAGACGAAGGAGUUGAUGUCAAGUUAACCAAGGAGUUCAAGACACGUGACCCUUGGCAAGUGGGAGAAGCGGUAGCAUGCUUAAAGGUGCAAUACCGUGAGCGAGGAAGUUCAAAGAAGCUCACCGUAUAUGCCAACUCCUUCGAGCCUAGGUACCACUUGAUCUUCUACCUUUUGGCCUUCAAUGUGGUACCAAAAAGAAGUGAAAAACGGGAGCUCUGCAACAGUGAUCUCUACUUCCUAGAUAAGAUGAUGCAUGUUUGGGUGGGCAGUUGACUGGUAUUCCCCUACCCAGCAUCAUCAUCAACUAUAUGCGGACUACAGCUCGCAUGAGGGCGACGAGACCUGUUUCGGGUUUCCUCGACUGCUAUCCCUCAUUUUUGAGAAGUUCAAGGUUCCUCUUAGAACCGAGCGGGCUAUUGUCACUAGGUCCGCCGACGAGGUCAGUGCCUCGAUACUCAAAUCUUUGAGUAUCCCUACGGAUUUUGGAGCUACUUUGAUUCAGGACACCGGUGAAGUUUCAACUUCCACUCAACCUCCGCCUCACACUGAACCUCAAUCGGAAGCUCAAGAGAUGGAGGCACAGCAGACUCUUCUCCUCCCGUUCCGCGACCACCUCCUCCACUGCGCUCCAAGUGGCAAGAGCUCAUCAAUGCCAUUUGCCGUAUGGAGACACGAGUCAUCGAGCGCAUUUGACCAGACAGAGCGGAUGAUGACUGAGCGACUCGACCGAUAUGAUCGUCCUUCGUGCGAUCGAGGAUCAUUUCCAUAUCUGCCGGCCCCUACUCCGACACCUCAGCAGGAGUGCCACAUUGGUACAUCACAUGGUCCUCAUGGAGCCGAGGAGGCCGUAGACCCUCGUUUCGAGCAGCCACGACGCUCUUAGUCGAUUGGAUCUUUUAUUUCUUUAUUUUUCUUUUCUUCUGUUAAGAUAAACUUUGUAGAUUUUAUUUUUCUUUUAUUUUUGAAUCAUCUUGUGCUACUUAUGUUUCUUCGUACUUUUUGUUUCACUUUGACCAGAAUUGGAAUGAUCGUGAGGAUUAAGGGCUUCAAAUUGCAUCACCACCUAUUUGAGGGAAGUUUCAGUUUCUUUAACCUUCCUCUAUAAUGAGGACAUUGUAGAUCUUAAGUGUGGGGGAGGGAUUACUUUAUCUUAUGUGAUAUUGUCUUGAAGUGCAUGAUUUUAGUUGUUAUUAUGGUUUAGAAAUGUUGGAAUUAUAUUUUGAAAAUAUUGUCAUGAGGAUAAUUUUCGUGAAAUUGAGGUUGUUGACAGGGAGUUUUGUCCAUUUUUUUGGGGAAAGUCUGUCAAAAUUUUCUAAAAAUAUUUUUCAAUAUUUCAUUGCAAUUCUUUCAAUUAAAUGGCCAAAAUGUUCAAAUUUUAAGUGUCUAAUUCUUCCAUUGGAUAAAAUAUUAUAUGUAUUUUGGAAAAGUUAGUCCUUAUUUGGCUUGGAAUGAAUUAUUAUGCAAUUAGGAUUUUUAUAUUUUAGAAAGUAUAUUUGGUUAAAUAAGAAAAAUUAUGUUUAGAAUUUUGCAUGAUUAAUGAUAUUUCUCAUUUUUACUUAAUUUUAUAAGUAAGUGAUUGAUAUAGUUAAGACAAUGCCAAAUUCUUCCUUUAAUUAUGUUAGAGGGAAAAGAAAUUAUAUGUUAAAAAAAAUUUAAAAAAAAAAGAAAAAAAGAGAAAAUAUAUAUAUAUUAUCAAUUUGCUACUUCAAUGAUUCACAUACUGAGUAACCGGGGUUGGUAUUUACAAAUGUCAACAUUCGCGUAAAAAAGUAUUGGAAUUAAGAGUAUGCUUAGCAAUUUGAAUAAGUGAAAUGUUGAGUAACUGGAAAUUUUCACCUAAAAGUGUUGAUUUUCGCGUAAAAAGGCAUUUUCACUAUUUAAAUAAAAUGAAAUGUGAAUAAAUCCAAAUUGUUAAGUUUUGGGAUGAGGAAGGCAUAAAAUUGACUAUGUGAUUUACUUAUUUGUGGAAUUAUGAUAGAAUGAGAGAUUGAGUUGAAUUUGUUGAAAUUAAGGCAUAAUUAUUUUUAUUAAUUGAAUAUUAUGAUUCAAUGUAAUCUGAGAAAUGGCAUAAUGAUUGGUUUCUAGGUUUUGAGGAAUUAAAUCUAACAAAAGUAUGUAUAUUGUUUUAUCUAUUGAAUCAUUGAAGUAAGUUUUGUGCGAAUUGCUUGAGGAUAAGCAAUGAUUCAAGUGUGGGGGAAUUGAUAAGUAAAUAUUUAACGUACAUUUUGUACAAAUUUGGCAUGAACUUUUGGUAUGUUUUGAGAAGAUUAAAACCAUAUUUGAACUCUGUUGGUAAUAAUUGCUUAAAUAUUGUUAAGUGUUCAAAACUUGAUAAAUGAGUGGAUUAAUGCGUUAAUUUUGUGAAAUUGUGAAGGUUUUGAUGUAUGAAAUUCAUGCACGAGCUGAAAGAAAUGUAAGGAUCGUCCAGAGGACAAAGUAAAAAAAAUUGGGUGAAAAAAUGAAGGAAAAAGGAAAGAAGUGAAAAACUGAAAUUCAAUGGCACGGAUCCGAGCUCGGAUCCGUGAGAGCAAAGAGGAAUCUGAGCCCUCGUCUGUACUUCUGGAGGAUGUAUCCGAGGUCAGAUGAUCCGACUCGGAUCCGUCAUUGGAAGUCCUCGGAUCUGAAGAUCCCAGCUCGGAUCCAUUUUCACCCCUCGGAUCUGCUUCUCUCUCCUGCAAGUGGCACAGCCGUUCUUUCUCACUUUUCACACAACUUCUCUACUAUUUGGAUUGAGUGAAUUCGGUGGCACAUGCUUCUGCAACAAAAAGGAAGACAAAAUGAGUUAUUGACAAGUCAAAACAAUAUAUCUUUUGACUUCCUUUACAAAAUCUAAGUGGUUGAAAUCAUGAAGGAGAAAAAAAAUGCCUUUCUACCACCUUUUAUGCAGAGACACAAGGGAGAAGCAGGGGAUAACCACACGUAGCUAGUUUUCCUUCUUGUAACAUUUUCUCUCUAGCUAGGAGUCCUUGGAGAAGCAUUUUGAAGUUUUUACUUGUAAUCAUCUUGUACAAGAACAUAGCAGAAAUUGGAGGGCUUCAUCAUCAAUUGGCUAAGCUUUCUUUUAUCUUUCUUGUACUUGUACUUUAUGAUGUUUUGCAUUAAUAAACUGUGAGUUUGAUUGUUAAAUCAUUCAUGAGUAGCUAAACUUCUUUAUUUAGGGAGUAGAUGAAACUUAUGGCUAAAUAAUACUAAUUGAAUGUGAUUUACACUUGUUAUAUCUUGUAUUAACUUGUCUACUUAUGUAGCUGUGAUUACUUGUUAUUGAUUGAUCACCAAUAGCAUGUUUAUAGUUGUUAUUGUUCAAUGAGAAUUGGUAGUAACAAUGGAAACACACGAGUAGAGUUUAAGUUGUAUGUUCAUGAAAAUAGAGAUACACUUAGGUGGAUUAUUUAGCAUUUCAUGAAAUAAAACAGAGUAGUAGUAGUAUUUCACCAUGAAAAUAGGGAAAACUAUAUUGCUCUAGGCCAUUUCAUCAUGAAAAUGAGACUUGGUAAUUUUGGAAAUGAAUCCCUAAUUAAACAAGAAUAAUAACAAGAGAUAAAUCCAUUCAUUUGUGUUGUUUAUGCCAUAAAUGGAAUCUACAUCCCUAGAUUCUUCCUUGAGUGAAACUUCUCCCUUUGCAUUUAGCAUUUGUUAAAUUAUAUCUGUAUAUCAAAUUUGUAGAUUAUAGCAAUAUACUUUCUCUGCUCAAAUUUAUUGUGAGUCUAAAUAAUAGAGAAAAAUAAGGGCUUAGUACUUGUUUAAUUUGCUCCUCGUGGGAUCGACCCGAUACAUACCCUACAUUACAAUUUUGGCAUGUAUACUUACAGUCAACGGGUAUAAAAUCGGAUUUAAACUUGCAUUGAUAUAAAAAUCCCGUCAAAAUGAUCAAGAGUUGCAAUGUUUCUCCACUAAUUUAUGACUUUCCUUGAAUUAUGUUGGACAAAAAUGCUCCUCAACAUCAAUGCAAUUGUUCAAACAAUUUUUGAAUGUUUAGACACCAUUUGGAUGGCAAUUAAUUGUCAAAAAUAUGAAAAUAUGCUAGAUAAACUUGAACAACUUCUGAUCAUUAUAGGUAUCGGUCAAUGAUGGAUCUUAUGUCAGAUCUUAAGAUGGGCUCCCAUCAUGCAAAUGAUCAAAUUUUAAAAAAUGUUUAACAAAAAUUGAUGUCAAUUUCACAAAAACGAAAAGAUCGUAGAGAAAGAAGGCUGGCUCCAACCACACAUUAUUGUCCAAGGAAUUUCCUUCAGCAAUGCGCCCCCCCCCACCCCCCAAGGUUUGACUUUGAAGGCAAACAUCAAGAAGAUGAUGGAAAUCACGUUCUGUUUUCAUAUGGGGAUAUAAUCAAGAAACCCCAGUUGAAGAGACUGAGAUCACCCAAUGAAGAAAAUAGUACUGAUCAUCAAGAAAAAGAGAUGCCACGUUCAAAGCCUAGAUAUCCUGAUGGACCGUCAACAUCAAUUAUCAGUACUAUUCCAGAGAAACAGAAGAACAGAAUUUUGGAAGUUGGGGGUCAGAGGAAAGCAUUGUAUUUGUGUUUCAGAAGGUGUUAACACAGAUUGAUGUGAACACGCAUUUGAGCAGGCUGCUGGUGCCAUUUGAGCAGAUCAUGAAUGGGUUUCUGACUUUUCACGAUCCUAAAGUUUGAAAUUGAUGCCAUUUUUGUUGAUCCAUCCCUUGAUGAAGGCAGAAUGAACCUGGGACAAUGGGAGAUGGGUAAAAAAAAACGGUAAUAUAAGUCACAAACUUAGACACUCACUGGCAGUGCACCUGUGGGCAUUUAGGAGGGAUUUACAGCUUGGAUUUGCCUUAAUUUUAGUUUGAUGAAGAUUUGUUUAUUUCUAAAUUUGCACUUAGGCUAAUUGUUCAUUAGAGUCUUGUGAAUUAAGGAUAUUUAGUUUGUUAGAGUACUGUCUAUUAGUCUUCGUUCACUCAUUUUAAUUAAACAUAUUAAUUCUUGCUUUUGUAUUGGUCAAAGAAUGUUAAUUUCAUUUGUCAAGAGUUUGAACAAAAUUGAUGCAAGUGAAGUAUAUAAUCAAUAGUUUGAUAUUUGGUUCUUAGCACUUUUAAAUUGGUUGUUUUGGCCUUGCUUUCGUCACUGUUCUUAAAUAGAGCUCAGUAUAGUAAUCCCCUGCAAGUAUAGUUAUGUUGCCUUUGCCCCAAGAUUAAAGGUCGAGCAUUAUUGGUCAGCUCCCCUUUAGCAUACAAAGCAUAUACUCCUACUUUUAUUCUUUUAUUUUUUUGUCUUGCUUUCUACAAUCUCCUAUCAUUUAACAUGUUUACAAUAAUUCUUUUAACGGUUGCUCAAUCUUCUAUUUCUUGCACUAUUUAUUUUGUCAGCCUUUAUAUUGCAAUUUCUAUUAAAAAUUUUUGCCCCAGCGAAAGAAGAGGGAGUUAGCUCUAAGUUCCAUUGAUUAAACAAGAAAUGGUAGAUAGAAGGGGAUAAAAACCAAAACCUUCUUUAAAAUACAAGAGUAGAUCUAUUUCAACUAAAUUUCAAAAAAGGGAAUCCUAAUCUGUCAGUACUCUUAAAAAAAAUUCUGCCAGUACUCUCUGGCCUCCAAAAAUACACAUAAGAUCCUCAGUACAACUUUUUUAAAUAGUAACUCAGUUUUACUUCUAUAUUUAUGCUAAGUGUCCUGUUUAUUUAACUUGUCAUGUAGUAUUAUUUAAAUUUUUUCCACUCUCACCUGAUAAGUGAGAUUGUUACUAAAUUUGACACUAAAUAGUGACAUCGAUUAUAAUCCUAUGGAUGCUUUCAGUCAACAAUAGACCCAUAGCAUGAUUGCAGGCCUGUUGGUUUGUCGUGGGCAAUGAGAAACAGAAACAGAUUUAGGCCUUAGAAUAACUAAUAUUGGCUGUAAUAUUACCGGUUUCUCUUUUUGUUUGAUUUUGUUUACCAAGGAUCUUCUUCAAAGGCAAAAAAAGAUGUCAAGAGCGCUCUGCGAAAUCUAAAAAACUUCAAAGGAGGUUUUUGAAAUUAUCUUUUGCCAUAUGGGUUACGUGCCAAAUAUACACAUACUGACACGUGCUUCUAUACCAGUUUUAGAAAAAAAAAAAAAAAAGAAGAAGAAGAAGAGCAAUUUAGGUGCAUUAAAAUACUUUUCAUUUUAAGCCUAGAAGAUUUUAAGUUUAUUUUAGGCCAAAUUAUUUAAGUUAUAAAGUAAAAAAUUGUUUCCGAUGUUGGGGUUCUGCUUUCAUCUGAAUUGACACAGCAACAUUGAGUUAUUCUAUUUGCACAAGAGUGCAGAUAAAACUUUUAUUUGAACUCUAUAAUUCAAAUUAUAAACCGCCUACUGGUUAUGAAGUUCAAAUGUUUACCUAAAACAUUGGAUUAAUUCUCAUUUCGACUCGCAUGAGGUCCUCAGUGUCACUUUCCCGUCACAAUUCAAUACCAACUUCUAUAUUUAUACCAAGUGUUCCAUUAUUUAAGUUGUCAUGAACUGUUUAUUUAAGUUUUCUUUAUCCUCACAUGAUAAAUAGAAUUUGGCAUCGGAUAGUAGCACAGAACAUCCCAAUUACAUUUCAACUACCUAUUGGUCCUUCCUCAACCCCUUGUACAAUUGCCUCAACAAUAAUUAUGCGUACUUUGUUCCACUCAUGUGAAACUGCAAAACUGCGAGCAUUUUCCGCUUGAAAAUUAAAUUGCUUGGCUAUGAAAUGAGGAACUUAAACAAAACCAGUAUCCAAUUCCAUCCAAAUCAAAUAAACCAUUUCCAAAUAGGAAGACAAAAUAAAAUACAAAAAAGAAGGAAGGGCCCCUUAGAGUCCUCAUUCAUUGCUAAGUGCAAAUUUGAAUCUUCAUGUGAAACUGCAAAACUGCGAGCAUUUUCCGCUUGAAAAUUAAAUUGCUUGGCUAUGAAAUGAGGAACUUAUACAAAACCAGUAUCCAACUCCAUCCAAAUCAAAUAAACCAUUUCCAAAUAGGAAGACAAAAUAAAAUACAAAAAAGAAGGAAGGGCCCUUAGAGUCCUCAUUCAUUGCUAAGUGCAAAUUUGAAUCUUGGACGUGAUAGUUGGGGGUAGGAAAAGUAUGAAAAGGGGUACAUGGAUUAAAAAGAAUACAAAAGAAGGGUAAAGUUAAUUCUAGAAAUUGCACAAAAAAAUAUGUAGUUGAAAAAGCAGCCACAAUUAUAUUGAGUGAUCUACUAAUAACUACACUGUGUCAGCUUAUAGUGUCACCACAAAUUACAAUUAGUUCACUAAUAACAUGUCGAGGACUUGCUUUGACAUACGAUUAGUAAUGGUAUAAUUUUUUAAAUCUUGGAUAUAACACAAUUUACAUUAAGUGAACGUACAACAUAUGCACUGCAUGGACUAAUUUUGAUGCUAGAAUGAAGUUCAAACAUAUUUUGGGUUUUUUUUUUGCCAUCUGCACUUAAUUGCUGAGUAGCAUGAGAUUUGUUUGUGGCUACAAUGUAUGCAGGCAUAAGAUGCAAAAGUGUUGCAUCUUAUAUUCACUCUGGCUCCUCCUAACACUUUUGCAAGUUUAUUCAUUUCCAUCCUAACUUGGGUACUCUAGACCUCUUAACUUUAGUGAGGUGUACAUGAUUAUUUUCACCUUUAAAACUAUAUGAUCUUUAUAUGAAAGAGUGAUAGACUUCUUUGGAAAAAGUAGAAUUUACAAGUAAAAUUACCCCAUGAAAACAAAACUAUACCGGGGUAGUGCAGCAAUAAAAAAAAACCCAUAAGGGAAACACAUUAAUUUAGCUUACUAACUAUUAUUUUCAUCAAGACAUUGGAGUACAUUAAAACAUUUCAUCUGGCUUCGUUACGAAAAGUGAUCUCCAUCAUUUUAACACUUUAAUCCAUACUACGGUCUUUUUUUUUCGGGAUAACUUUUGAAACUAUAUGAGGCCUAUUUGAAAAAGUGAUAGAUUAAUCAAGGAGAUAAAGUAAAAUUUACCAAUAAAAAUACCUAAUAAAAGUCCCGUUUGAUCCUUAUUCAAUACACCAUUGAAAUGGUUUCUUUUGGAAAUUUCAAAGAUAACUUGAAAGAAUUACCCGAAAGAUCUUAUUUAUAAAAUUCAAAUUAAAAGAACAAUUUUAUGGGCAUCAAAAGAGACAGUGUUGCAUGGAAUAUUGAACACUGCGGAGUAUGUCCAAAACAGAGUUACACGAGUUUACCAUUAUUUCUGAACAUUAUUUUAACUGUCUUUAUUUUGCAGUAAACUUAGGUAGAAUCCACUUUCUUCCCGUAAGAUGCUAAGCAUAAAAAGCUCAAGACUGCAAAUGAUUUCUAUUAUCCAAAUUACAUUUUGUCCCAUUUUAACCGCCUUACACAACCCAUACUUGUAUAAAAUCCACCUCUUCAUUCCUUUUGCGAUUCCAUGAGCUUUUGUUUCUUCAUUUUUUUCCUUUCACUAUAAAAAAUUAUAUACAUACCGUCGCAAUAAUUCAUCAUAGAGACUUUAAAGUACAAUUGCUGAACCAUUUUUUUUCACUUCCAAGCAUGGUUCGAAGUCUCGGCCGAGUCGUCAUUGUCUCGGUCUUUAUCGAUACGAUACCAUGACGAAACGAUACCGAGAUACUUGACUCGCUGAGAAAUCGGCCGAGACGUCACCGACGGAUUGACUCGCCGAGUCACACCGAGUCACUCCGAGUUAUCCCGAGUCAAGACGAGAAAUCGGCCGAAUUACACCGUGACGGAUUGACUUGGCCAUUUUUUUUGCUAUUUUUUAUUAUUUUGUUUAGCAUACUUUUUUAUAUAUUAUAAUUUUUAGAAUAUUAAAUAUUUUAAAAUUUGCGUCUCACCGAGACCGCGACCGAUAUGCCGAAACCGAUGUGGAACGUUCCGUGCCGCGACCGUGACCGCGACCAUGACUUUGAACCAUGCUUCCAAGAUGUUCUAGUCUUUUCAUUUUUUCUUUGGAUAUCAACAGUUCAGGAAUCCCCUGUAGUCAGUAGAAUUGGUGAUUGAUCUUCAAGAAGACCUUGAAGAAUUUGAGCAGAAAAAAGAGAGGAACAACAGAGAUAGAGAUGGAUGCAAGGGGUAGAAAGAGAAAAGUGAAUGAUCCUGAAGCUGGCGACAGAAUUCUUGAUCCCAAUGCACCAGCACACACCAGCACCGGAUCCUCCGAACUUCAAAACGGCCAUCACAAACUUGGGAGGUUCAGAGCCAGUGUUAUUGGCGGAAUUGAUGCGGAAGUGGGUGCAAUUUGUAUCCAACCAGCAAUGGCUAAAUCUGAGAUAAGCAUCUCAAAACAUGACAACUACUAUGCAUUGAGUGGUUGGAAAGACCUUGUCGAGACUUACAGGCUGAUUCUGACUAGCAACCCAGAUGCAAUUAUGGUCUUUCAAGAAGAUACAGCUUGGAUUUAUAGUGCUACUUGAAGAUGACAGUCAAGAGGUUGGAUUGAAUAUGUGAAUCGAUAGUCUUGAUCUUGGUAUCAUUUUGCACUCAUUAAUGGAAUCCUAGCUAGCUACUUCUUGUUGAUUAGUAUUCCUAAUUUUUGCACUAUUUUUUUUCCAACAGAUUCAACAUCAGACGAAGGCUCAAGAAGUUUCCGAUGGCAUCAAGCAUCGCAUCAGUUCCAUUGGAGGUUCAGAACCACUUUUUUGGUGGAAAAGAAAUUGUUCAAGACUGAUACGGAGCAUCUAUUUUCAAUACCGUUGAGAGGAAGGAAGAACAAACUCUUGAAGGAAGAAGAACAGGCACCUUUCAGAGUCCUGUACAGCAGAGCAACGAUUGAGGCGGUUUUGAUUGGAUCAUCAGCCGAUGAAGAAUUAGGGUCAAUUUGAAGCAUCGGGGCAUUACGUAUUCCUAGAUGGUGUUGACUGGAGCAAAUUUGUGAAGAAACACAGGCUCAAAGUGGGAAAGAAAGUGCGCUUGUGGACGUUUAGGCCUGCAAACGAAAGUGCUGGUUUAGACAUUGAAAACUAUCGUUCAGAGCCUGGAUUUGCAUGGGUUACAUUUCAAUGAGAGGAAGCAACACGAAUUCGUAUAUCCAUGUUGUUUUAGGCCUCAAGAUUGCUGUUUUCAUCUUUCAAAUUUGGUAUUGUUGGUGGGAUUUCUUGACUGUAUUCAGUAAUCAUUCUGAUAAAAAAAAUCAGUAUCUGAAAAUUUUAGGCAUUCUUGUAGACACAGCUUUCAAUCCUUAGGCGUUUCAGGGUUUCUCAGGUUGUAUUCAUGUUCAUCAAUUGGGCAAGUUUGUAAGAUCUGCUGCGCUCUGUUCUUGUAGACACAGCUUCCUGACUCUUACUCGCAUUAAUGAACUUCAAUUUUUUAAUUGUUGUGUUAGACCUUUUUUUUUUUCUUUUUUCUUUUAAUAUCCACUUCUAUGAGCAGUUUCAUUUGUUUUUUUGUUUUAAUGUAUGAUGAAAUUGAAAAUUUGGCUGGCAAAGUAAUUAUUGGCAAAAUACUGAGGAUGCAAAAAUUUUUGAAUCGGCUAAAAUGUCAAACUGUGAGUCCGUUUUUCCUCCCAAUCGUGCAAUUCUUUCUUUUAAUCAAUAGUGCAAAUUACUACAUUCCGCGUGACCAAUUAUAGUGGCAAAUUCGUACACACAGAACAACAAUAUGUAUACCUCCACAUGACACAUGUACAUGUACAUGAUUAAUAGUGGCAAAUUAGUCCAUAUUUUUAUCGUAUUAUUAUGUGAGAGUAUGGUUGUAUAAUAGUGGAUAGAAGUGGCAAAAUGGAUAUAUGGUUGAUAAAUGGUUUUAGUUAAAUGGAUAGUGGAUCAAAUUGAUCCAAUCCAAUUAAAACCAUUUAAUAAAUGGAUCUAAAUGGAUGUCAUUUAAAUGGAUAGUGUAAACCAUGAUCCAUCCAUUUAUCCAUUUACUCUCCCAAAUCCUAAAUUUAAGAUCCAAAUAUUUUUUUCCAAUAAAUACAGAUCCCCAAAGUUCUAUCCUUAAAUCACCUAAAACCUUUUGGUAAUAACAAAUGCUUGUACUACUACUCUAUUUUAGUACUUCAUAAAAUUAGUUUAGUUCCAAGAAAAUUUAACUGCUGUGGUCAAUUUAACCGUCAUUACUUUAAGUAUCAUUUUGUAAAGUAAUGAACAAUUAAGAACUUGGCUACAUUUUUAUAACUAUUGAAUGAAUUGAAUACGGCUUUACAGUGAAAAGAAGUUUACGUUUCCAAUUUUUUUGCACUCCUGUUCAAGAGUGAUGUCUUGAAUAAAAGUGGAGUUCUAACAAGAAAUCUUAUGUUAUUUGACAAGUAAAAUAUUUUCAUCACAUGUGCACGUAGUACCUAAAAAUGUAUGAAACUCCUUAUUAUAUCAUUGAUAUACAAGCUACCUUAUAUUACUUAGUAAAUUAGGUGUUUUUUUUGGAUAGUUGGGUUAUGUGAUAAGGGGAGAGGGAUUGCAAGUAUGAUGAUUUGGAAAAAAAAAAGUGUCAUUUACAUAUCUUAACCAAUGUUGCGGGGACACUCGUUAGAAAAAUUCUUUUUAUAAAUAAAAGAAUUAAAAAAUAAAAAUUAUUUUGACACUGCAUGAUGCAUUCUCGCUUUUUCUUUACUUAAGAAUAUAAAUGUUUGCAAUCAUUACUACAAGAGAGUUUAAUUAAAAAAAAACAAGAGUAGAGACUAAAAUAUAAUUUUGAAAAGGAUGGAAGAAGUCUAGGAAAUAGAAGCAAAUAAAAUGCAAUUAAUGUUAUUGGCAACUUGGCAUGUGAGGAAGUUAUGAAGGAAAGAAUAGGUGGUCCCACAAAAUUAAUUUGACAUAUGAGGAAGUUAUGAAGAAAAGAAUAGAUGGUCCCACAAGAUUUUAUUCACAUUUUUAUAAAUGUAUUUUCUAUUUUUUAAGUUAAAUGGAUGUAUAUGGAUAAGAUGGAUAAUCCAUUUAAAUCCACCAACAUAAUUGGAUUUAAAUGGUUAUCCAUUUAAAACCAUUGAAUUUAUAUGGAUCAUCCAAAUCCAUUUAAGGUUGGUUUAUAUGGAUGGAUUGGUGGAUAUGAAUCCAUUUUGCCACUUCUAAUAGUGGAUAUAAAUUUAUAUCAUUUGCAAGGACAAAUGAGUCCAUUCAUAUUAUAUUAUUUUUUAGUAUAGGAAUAUAUAAUAAUGAGAGUAUAAAUUUGUAUCAUUUUUAAGAUAAAUUGGUCUAAAAUUUUAUCAUCACAUUUUUUAGUCAUCCCUGACUAAUACCAUCAAUCAUGGAUCCAAUCCUUCAAUGAACCAAAUGAAACUUUAAUAUUGGCACUAAAGUGGGUUGAAGAAACGUGUAUAACAUCCAACUUUUCUCCAAGUUCUAUUCGUAAUAGGACAGGAUUUCCCGACAUUCGACAACACAUCCACCCAACUUUCAGAUCCGAUUAGGAUAAGGAAAUUCGCCAAUCCAAUACCAAUAGCCAUGUAUAUAUAUAGUUGAUAUUUAGGCAUAUUGCCAAGCCUUUAACCUUAAAAUUGCCCUACAACUUAACUCAUCAUCCCAGCUGUCGAACCUCUGCAAACUAAGUCAAACUCAUCCAAUGGCAAACUGGUCCGAUCUCCAACAUGAUAUGUUGGGAUUGAUAGCCCAACACCUCGACAAGAUUGAAGAUUAUGUGGCUUUUGGCGCAGUUUGCGCAAGUCAUGGCGGCGCAGCCGCCACUGAGAAAAAUUUCAAGGCCUGCGACUAUGGCAACAGAUUCCCUGCCUUAUGCUUUCUGCGAAGGAUGAUUUCAAUCGGGAGUUCUAUAGUUUGAUGGAGAAACAAGUCGUUGCUAAGGUAAGCUUGCCUCAACUUAAAGGCAAGAAGUGUUAUGAAUCUCUAGGAUGGUUGUUGACUAUAGGACAACAAGGGGAGAUGAGCCUGUUGAAUCCCUUCUCUGGUGUUGAAAUUGAGUUACCAAAUCAAAAUACUUUUCCUGAUAUGAUUUAUAUGAGAUGGAUCCUGAUAUCUUUGUACGUAGGAUGGUUUUGUCAACGAGGCCAAGUCGCGAGUCCCAGAGGACGAUGACUUUGUGGUGAUGAUCAUCUGUGGAGGGGUUGGAUUCUUGGCUUUCUGGAGGCCAAAGGAUCUUAGGUGGAAUAGGAUCGAGACCAGAAACUCUUCCUAUGCGGAUGUCAUAUAUACCAAUGGCCAGUUCUACGCAAUUGAUCAUAUGGGCAAUGUUGUGGUUUGUGACGUUUUCGAGGCAAACCCUACUGAUCAGGCUAGAAUAAUUGCUCGUUUAGCCCUGAAUUAUGGGACAAAAAGAGUUAUACUUAGUAAAAUCUUCAUCUACAGAUGAUGAACCUUUUCUGGUGGUCACACGAGACAACAUCCCCAAUUAUGAGGACGAACGAGGCUUUGAAUUGGAUAAACCGAUCUAUGGAACAACCGAAUUCCAGGUGUUUGAAUUGGUUUCUACAGCAGGGGAAAAAGAGAUUACUUCCCGUUGGAAAGAAAUCAAGAAUUUGGGAAGCAGAUCAAUUUUUCUUGGCCAUAGUUCUUCAAUGUGCCUGCAAAACAACAAAUUGGCCCCCGGAAUCAAACCCGGUCAUAUAUAUUUCACGGACGAUGCAUGGGCAGCAUAUGUUGAAAUUCCUGAAGGCGGCAGCAAGGACAUCGGAGUCUACAACUUGGAAAAAGGAGUAACUGCGCCCUUGUAUGAUGCCCCUUGCGGCUUAGCCGAACCUGCCCAUCUCUUUGGAUUACACCAAAUUUUUAACAUUUGUAUCAUUACCUGUGAUCUGUUCAUGUGAAUCUCGAAGGAUGUAUUUUCUCCCUCGUAGAUUUACUGCUCUCCAUAUCUUUCCUAGUUCAGGACCUUG
rnacentral:lncRNA from 1 species